rnacentral:lncRNA from 1 species
UUUAUUUUUAUUUUUUUUUGGUUUUGGUUGGACCGUAAAAGCGAACAUCGAUUCUCCCCAUACAUGCAAGCAUGUGAUUCUUUUUCCAUUUUUUGGGGUCCCCAUGCAUAAACAUGUGAUUUGUCAGUUAAAUGUCAAAGAGUAAUGAGUGGCAUGCAAUCACGUGAUUCUUUUUCCAUUUUUUGGGGUUCGAAUGCAUAAGCAUGUCAUUUGUCAGUUAAAUGUCAAAAGAGUAACGAGGGGCAUGCAAUCAUGUGAUUCUUUUACUAUUUUUUGGGGUGCCAAUGCAUUAGCAUGUGACUUGUCAGACAAAUGUCAGAGAGUAAUGAUUGGAGAGGUAGGUGGCUUUUAAAACAAUUAAAAAGGAAGGACCCACCCACAUCCGCGGAUGAAAAUUUCGCUUUAUACGGUGAUAUAUCGAUAUCAGGUUAAGAAAUAUUGUUUAGGCGGAAGAAAUAUUGUUUUGGCUGGAUUUCGGGAUGAAAAAAUUAGAUUUUAUCGUCGAAAUAUCGAUUAUAUUUCGGAUAUUGGAGGUAACUGAAACAAUUUUGACCACCAAUUAUCAAUGGAGAGAAAUUUAAAAAAAAAAAUCAGAAAAAUCCUUAAAAUAUCAGUUUUGGCUGAUAAAUCUCCAAAAUAUCUGCGCAUGUAGCGAUGCUUUUUUGCCAAUUUUUUCAAUUUAUAUCGAUAAUGGACCAUUUUUGCUGGUUUUUUCGAAAAUUCGUUGUGAUUGUUGCAAAAAUCCUCCUGCAUCCGACGAUCAGAUUUGAAUUUUUGAUGAUCUGGUCAUCCAUGUUUUUAUGUUAUCAGUUUAUUUUAUAUUAUAUUUUUAUUUUUAACAUUUUUUAUAUUUAUCUCAUUAAUCCUAUUUUAAAAAUUAUUAUCACUUCACUUUCAUUUUAUAUAUAUAUUUAUCCUUUCAAUUUUAUUUCAUUUUAAAUGUUUUUAUUUUAAAAUAUUAAAAAUAUAAUUUUACCAAAAAAUUUGCUACAAUGUAAAAAAUUAAUAAAGUUUUAAUAUUUUAUAAAUUAAAAUUAAUUUGAUAAGAUAAAUUAUUAUUAAUUUUAAUUAUUUAAAUAAAUUAAUAUUGAUAGAAAAAUUUAUUACCAUAUAUUUUUAAUAAAAUUUUAGAAAUUAAAUCUCAAAUAAAAUAUUUUAUAUAAAUUAAUUUAAUUUUUUAUUUAAAAUAUAAUAAAACAUGUUUUAAUAAAAGUAUUUUAAAAUUUUUAAAUAAAUAUUAUCUUCAACAAGAUGGACCUACCUUUGUCUAAUAAUAUGAUGAAAUCACAUUGAUCUUCAUUUGUUCAUUUUUAAUAAAAUCAAAUAUUUUGUAACUUAAUUUUAACUUUAUAAGUGUACACUUCCAAAAUUCAUAUUUAUUAUUAUUAAAAUUCAAGUAUUGAAUCUACCGAUAUAUCUUUACUUCUUGAUUAUAUUUAUGUCAAUUAUACUUAUGAAAUAACUUGAAGAUGUGUAUUAUUACUUAUUUUAUCAUUUUUUAGAAUUUUUUCAAGCAUUCAUAUGAAUUUUGAAUAAUUUUCGCUUCACUGAUAUUUGUGAAAAAAAUAUUCACCAAUAUUAAUCAAAGUACUAAUAUAUCCAUAAUUACCGAUAUUUUCAUCAUUGACCGAUAUAUCGACGAUUUUUCACAAUAUAGCUACAAUGAGGUCAAACACGCUAAAUGCCCACCACUCCCUUAAAAAUGCCCCAAACAAAAGAUUUAACCUUUGACUCAACUUACCAUUGAGUCAAAUUUGCCUCUUAUUAAAUAUAUUGCACCAAACAUAUAUAUUCAAAGCCAUUAUAUAAACAAAAUAUUAAAAAAAAAUUUAGAUAAAAAAUUAAUUAUAAUUAAAUGCAAAAAAUUAUUUUAAUUAAUUAUCAAAAAUAUAAAAAUUAUCAUGAUAAUUUUCUUCAUAUUGUUUUUAAUAUUAUUAAUAUUAAAAAAAUUGUACAUAUAUCACAACUUAUUGUAUAUCAUUUAAUAUAAUUGAAUUAAAUGGAUCAUAAUUUAAAUAUUAAAUAUAUUUUAAAAUUAAAUAUAUUAUAAUUAAAUAUCACAAUAUUACUGUGAAAUAAUAUUUGAUGUAAUUUAAUAAUAUAUGUACACUUAUAAAAUUCAUAUUUUUUUUAUUGAUGUAUACGAUAUUAUUAUCAAAUAUGAUAAAUCAUAUUAUACAUGUAUCAAAAUUUUUAAUAAAAUAAUUUUAAAAUAUUUAUUAUACUUUUAAUUAUAUUAUUAUAAGAUUUUUCUUAUAUUCUUAUGAAUUUUGAUCACUUUUAGUCAUACCAAUAUUUUUUUUCCAAAAUAUUCAUCAGCAUUAUCUCUGAUAUAUUCGAUAUAUCCAUAAAAUCAAAGUUAUUAAUAUAUCUAUGAUUAACAAUAUUUCAUUCUUACCCACGUCUUUGUUUUAUAACAUUUGCAUUUUAUUUACAAUGGUAAAAGAGAAAUGAGUGGGAAGGGGGGUGGCCUCCAAAAAAAUAUAAGGAAGGAUCCACCCACUACAAAAUUCAGAAGCACAUUUGUUUCUAGCAUUUGCAUUUUGUUCACAAUGGUAGAAGAGUAAGAAUAGGAUGGGUGACUUUUAAAAGAAUAUAAAAAAGGACCCAUCCACCACAAAAUUUUAAAAGCAUCUUUGUUUCAUAGUAUUUGUAUACCAUAUAAUUUCAUCUUUUUAUCUUUAUUCCUUUUCAUCUUUUACUGGUAGAUGGGUUCAUUUGAAUUUAUUACGUUGAAUAAUUGAUAAUUUAUUACUGUCGUGCGGGAGGUUGAAAAUAAUGUUUAACCUUUUUUUAUAGAAUUAAAUUAAAUUUUUAUUAUUUUAAAAAGAUAAUAGAAAAUAAGACUUCACAAAAAAAAAAUAAAAAAAAAUCUUUUGUUGACCAACAUUGAUGAUUCUUUUUUAGACUUUUUCUUUGUGAAUUUUUUACUGGUUUGGUGAAAAAUUAUUAUUUAUUUUGAAUCACUGAUAGAGCAUCCAUUUCAUCCUCUGUGACAUUUGUCAUUUUCUUAGUUGUCGCUGUCUUCUUUUGUUUAUUUUUUCGUUUUUAGUGUUUGUCCCUUUUUAAGACUUGCCGACCUUAUCUUGAUUAAAAAAAAAAAAAACACUUCAGCAAACUUCAGUGUUAAAUCACUAACAAAGCGUCCAUUUCAUCCUCUCUGGCUGUCAUUUUCCGGUUGUCGCUGCCUUCUUUUAUUUAUUUUUUCGGUUUUAGUGUCUGUCCUUUUUUUAUGACUUCGCAUUGGCCAAGAUUCCAUGGAUUCUGCCGACCUUAUCUUGAUAAAAUUUUUAAUAUUGAAGCAUAGGAUGCCAAAAAAAAAGAAAAAAAACACUUCAACAAACUUCAGCUUUAAAUCACUGAUAAAGAGUCCAUUUCAUCAUCUCUGGCAUUUGCCAUUUUCUCAGUUGUCGUUGUCUUCUUUUAUUAAUUUUUUCGAUUAGUGUUUGUCCUUUUAUAAAACUUCGCAAUGGGCAAGAUUCCAUGGAUUCUGCCGACCUUAUCUUGAUAAAAAAAAUUUAAUCUUGAAGCAUAGGAUGCUAGUAAAAAAAAAAAAAAAAAAAAACACUCCAGCAAACUGAUAGAACAUCCAUUUCAUCAUCUCUGGCAUUUGUCAUUUUCUCGGUUGUCGAUGCAUCUUUUAUAUAUAUUUUCGUAAUAUUAAAUAUUGAAAUAUUAUUAUCAAAUCAUAUUUGAUGUAAUUUAAUAAUAAAUAAAUACUUAUAAAAUUCAUAUUUUUUAUCGAUGUAUAUAAUAUUAUUAUUAAAUAUGAUAAAUCUUAAUAUACAUAUAUCAAAUUCUUUGAUAAAAUAAUUUUAAAAUAUCUAUAAUAUUUCUAAUUACACUUUUAUAAGGGUUUUUUUUAUAUUCUUAUAAAUUUUGAUCAAUUUUAGUUUUAUUGAUAUUUUUUUUUCAAAAUAUUUGUCAAUAUAUAUCCGAUAUAUUCUAUAUAUGCAUAAAAUCGAAAUAUCAAUAUAUCUAUGAUUAACUAUAUUUCAUUCUUGCCCAUAUCUUUGUUUGAUAAUAUUUGUAUUUUAUUUAUAAUGGUAAAAGAGAAAUGAGUGGCCUCCAAAAAAAAUAUAAGAAAGAACCCACCCACCACAAAAUUUAGAAGCACAUUUGUUUUUUAGUAUUUACAUUUUGUUCACAAUGUAGAAGAGUAACAGGUGGGAUAGGUGGCUUUUAAAAGAAUAUAAAGGACUCAUCCAACACAAAAUUUUAAAAACACCUUUUUUUCAUAGUAUUUGUAUAUCAUAUAACUUCAUCUUUUUCUCUUUAUUCAUUUUCAUCUUCUAAUGAUAGAUUUGAACCCAUUAAGAUGAAUAAUUGAUAAUCUACUAUUGUUGUGAAGAAGGUUGAAGAUAAUGUUUGAACUUUUUUUCACUAAAAAAAAAGAAAAAAAAAUUGAGAAUUGAAUUGAAUUUUUAUUAUCUUAAAGAAGGUAGUAAAAAAUAAGACUUCACAAAAAAAAAGAAAAAAGAAAUUCUUUUGUUGACCAACAUAGAUGAUUCCUUUUUUAGACUUGUUCUGUGUGCAAUUUUUUACGGGCUUGGUGAAAAAUUAUUAUUUAUUUUGAAUCACUGAUAGAGCAUCCAUUUCAUCCUCUUUUGUCAUUUUCUUAGUUGUCGCUGUCUUCUUUUAUUUAUUUUUUCGUUUUUAGUGUUUGUCCUUUUAAAGACCUGCCGACCUUAUCUUGAUGAAAAAAAAAAAAAACACUCCAGCAAACUUCAGUGUUAAAUCACUGACAAAGCGUCCAUUUCAUCAUCUCUGGCAUUUGUCAUUUUCUCGGUUGUUGCUGCCUUCUUUUAUUUAUUUUUUCGGUUUUAGUGUUCGUCUUUUUGUAAGACUUCUCACUGGCCAAGAUUCCAUGGAUUCUGUCGACCUUAUCUUGAUAAAAUUUUUAAUAUUGAAGCAUAGGAUGCCAAAAUAAAAAAAAAGGGAGAAUUGUUGUUAAGGGUGGGCUGGGAAACAUAUGACCGAGAAUGAUGGGUAUAUUUAAUAAUUCUUAUGAAGGAUAGGGUGGAAUUAUGAUAAUUCUUUUUAAGACUUUAUUUUGUUUAAAUGUCAAGACUACCCUUAACAAGUGAAAAGCCAGCAAACAAAAAAAAAAAAUCUUCUUUUAACCCGGCUGUAACUUAUCGGUGUUGAAGAAGAAAAGGGAAAGAGGAAAAAAUUUCAGCACUUCAGGUUAUGAUCUGAACUGUCUCCACAAAACUUGUAUUUUUGUGUGAAUCUAGCAAGAAAUCCAUUAAAGGUAAGAUUUUUUUUAUAAAAAAAUGCACAAAAAAAAAAAAAUUCUUUUAACCCAACUGUAGCUUAUCAGUAUUGAAGAAGAAAAGGGAAAGAGGAAAAAACUUCAACACUUUAGGUUAUGAUCUGAACCGUCUCCACAAAGCUUGUAUUUUUGUGUGAAUCUAGCAAGAAAUCCAUUGAAGGUAAGAUUUUUUUUAUAAAAAAAAAUGCCAAAAAAACAAAAAUACGUUAGUUUAUGCAAAUAAAUAAAUAAUUUAAAAUUUGGAUUGAAGGAAAGAACUAUUAAUAAUUUUAACAAUGUAGAUCUGAAAUAUUGAAGGAGGUUUUGAGAAAGAAAUUACAUUUUUUUUGUGUAAAAUGUUAUUAAAUUUUUUUUUUGAAUUUUUUUAUAUUAUUUUGGUCAUAUUGAAAAUGUGUUUUUAUUUUUAAUUUAUUUUCCGCGUGGGUUGUUUGAUAUGAUUAUUAUUGAUUUCCAUUGAAAAUGUUUGCGCUUUAAUUUUGUUGUUGAGACUUGUUUGGCAUAGUAGAAUAAAAAAUUUUCUCAGUUGUUUCAUGCUUAUUUGGGUAUUUAUUAACAUAUUUGGAUUUUCAUUGAAAACUAAAAAUUAUAAUCAAUUGAAACAUAUUUUAUAUAAUAAAGAACAAUAUUUGUUGUAUAUUAGACAUGUAUAUUAGACAACUACCCAGUUUCAUAAGAAAUUUGAAAUUUUCAAAAUUUUACCUUAUCGUAAUGUAUCGUAAUGUUAUUGUAUUUAUAUUAUAAUCGUAGUAUAUUUUUAUUGUACAUUUAUAUUUUUAUAUAAAAAAUUAAUUUUAUAGAUUUUUUUUAUAUAUCAUUGGAUUACCAUGAAUAACUUUAUGUAUUAAAAUUAUAAUAGUAUAUUUUUAUUGUCUUUUUAUAAUUUUGGUUUGCAAGGAUGCUUUAUGAUAGGAAUAUAACAUGAUAGCCUAGAAAUACUAGUUCAGUAAAAAAAACGAAUUCAAUAAUUUGUCAUUUUGGUAUAUUAUAAUGUAUUGUAAUGUUAAUAUUUUUUCAUUGUAACUAUAUUGCAUUUGUAUUGUACUUAUACUUUAUGAUUGUCAAGAAAGAAGAUGUACUUUUUAAUGGGUAAAUGGACUUGAGAAAUCAGGGUAAAUUAGUCUAAUAAAAAUAUAAGACCUUCAUAAGAAUUAUCAAAUCUACCCACCAUUUUUAAUAAUUUUUUUCCCCGGUCCACCCUAAAGUAAUCCUCCCAUAAAAAAAAACACUUCAGUAAACUUCAGCUUUAUAUCACUGAUAGAGCGUCCAUUUCAUCCUUUCUGGCAUUUGCCAUUUUCUCAGUUGUCGCUGUCUUCUUUUAUUUAUUUUUUCGUUUUUAGUGUUUGUCCUUUUUUAAGAAUAUAAGAAACAACACGUGGAAUACGACAAAAAUGUGUCAUGUUUAUUAUAUAUAUAUAUAUGAAUUACUUUUUUCAAGCACUUAUUUUUAGGUAUAGAAAUUGUAGCCUGAUGAAAGGAAUAAACAGGGCUAACAGUAACCAAAUAAGAACGGAAAAUUAUACUUAAGCUCUUCAAUUUCAUAUAAUUGGUUCAAAAUUAUACUUAUCUGCGAAGGUUGAAUGUUUGAAAUAAUAAUUAACACAUGAUGAUUUUUUAAAUAUGUUAUUUUUCUUUUUGAUUCAUAUUUAAUCUCAAAACAAAUAAUGCCCUUUAUGUUAAUUUGAUGUAAGGGUAUUUGAUAAAAUUAAAAAUUAAGUAGUGAAAAAUUUUAGCAUUUAAUAUUAAGAGCGUGUUGAAUUAAUCAAAAUGUAAAAUAUUUGAUAUUAUUUAAGUUUUAAGUAUAAAGUUUAAUUUAACUAUUUGAUAAUAAAAACAUUGAAAGAUUAAGUGGUUUAAACAAAUGAGACCCGCCAUUUUUUUUUCACUCUUUACAGGCUUUUUUAUUUUUAUUUUUGUAAUGCAUGUUUAAAAAAUUGUAAAAAAAUAUAAAAUAUAGUCAAAGAAAAUUUUAUGUGAUUGAUUUUACAGCAGGUGUAUCUUUAUUUUAUUUAUUUAUUUAUUUUUGUGUAUUUUCAUUAUUACCUUUUUAGUUUUUCUGGUAGAAAACAUGAGUCAUAGUUGAGUUGCCAAUUUGCCAAACCCAUGGAUUCAACUAUUUUUAAAAUAAAUGAUAAUAUAAUGAAAAAAAUAUCAGAAUAUAAGGGGAAAAGGACAUAUGAUCACAGUAAGCGUGUGUAUCAUGGUGCAAGGUAUUCCUCUCCACAAGUCUUGUUUACUAGUUCUUCAGUUGACAAGUUGUGCUUAAUCUCUAAGUUUUGCACAACCAGCCUAAAACUGUCAUUCCGCAUGGAUCAAAUACCUUCUUCUCCUCUCAAUUCUUCUUCUACUGAAUGGCGUUAUGAUGUUUUCUUGAGUUUUAGAGGAGAAGAUACCCGCACAGGAUUUACAGACCAUCUCUACGCGGCUUUAGUUGACAAAGGAAUCCGUACCUUUAGAGACAGUGAAGAACUUCGACGUGGAGAAGAGAUUGAAGGAGAACUUCUGAAAGCUAUCCAUGAAUCAAGAAUUUUCAUCAUUAUUUUCUCAGAAGACUAUGCUAACUCCAAGUGGUGUUUAAAAGAACUCGCGGAGAUCAGUAAGUGCAAAGCAAAGGGACGAAAAGUUUUUCCAGUUUUCUACCAUGUAGAUCCAAGCGAAGUGCGAAAUCAGUCUGGAUAUUAUGGAGAAGCAUUCGCAGCUUAUGAAAACGAUGCGAACCAAGACAGUGAGCGAAUACAAGUAUGGAGGACUGCCUUGAAGGAAGCAGGCCAUAUAAUUGGAUAUCAUAUAGAUAAAGAGUAACUAUACCUUCUCUUCAUCUCCCUCUGCGUAUUUUCUCACUAGCUGACUUGAUUUUAUCUAUUAUUACUCUCAAAAAACUUGGGCCAUUUGAGUAUAAGUUUUUUUCCGCAUGAUUUCGUGGAAGCCCAUUUCUCUAUCCAUUUGAUCUCUUCAUUUUAAUUAUGAGCAGUAUUGUAUAAAUGGUUGUGCCCUGGACAUAGAUUUAAGGGGAACAUAUUGGGCGUUUUAAGAUUUAAUAUUGAAGAUAAAAAAGCAUAAAAAGUGCACAUACUUGUAGUGAUGCUCUUAAUGGAUACCUUGAUUGCUUGCUUCUUUGAUCAUUAUUGCUUAUUUGUUAUAUCUACCCUGAUUGUAUUGGUGCAUUAUUAUUAUUGAAAGAUGAUGGACAGGAUAUUGUUGGUUGCGAUGAGCAGGUAACAUGGCGCUGGUGGUGUUGAGUCAGUGCUAGAGAAUGCAGGGUUUUAAAAAUUUUGCGUUACAGGCUCUUAUAGCUCAAAAUUUGCCUCAGAAUUUUGUAUCUCAAAAAAUUGUUUACAGUAUCAUCCAAACCCAGUUGUAAUAAACUUGAAAUCUUUAAACAAUUCCAGGACAAGGACAUGGUUAUGAGGCAGUAGUUAUAGCAAUCAUUCUUUAAAUUUUCAAAAUCAGAAUUAUAACAAAGUCCCCUCUACAAGCUUCCUAAGAAUACAGUCAUGAAAUAGGUCAAUCUUUACCAACCCUCCGUGAAAGUAAAAGGAAAAAAAAAACUAAAAGAAGAAGAUAAAAAUUAACUUAAUCAAUAGUGAUGGAUUAGACCUUAGUCAUAAUGGCAUUAAUUUCCUUAAAGAACUAAGGUGAAGGUUUUUUUUUUCUAUUUUUUUUAUUUUAAAUAGAAUUUUUUAUGCUUAACGUUAAGUAUUAAAUGGUUUGUUUUUAUAAUAUUUUAUUUUUAUUAAAUAUUAAAAAAUAAAAAAAAAUCAAUAUUACUUUUUUUUUUUCUAUUUAGAAAAAGUUAAAUAUUUUGAUUUUUUGUAUUUAACAAAAAAUUUAUAAUAAAUCAUAAAAAAUAGGAAAAUAAACUACUUAAAGUUCGAAAAUAAAUUUCUUUCAAUAAAAAGUUAAAAAAACAAACAUCUUCUAAGUAGAAAAUUAAUCAUUAAUUAAUAAUGAGAAUCUUGAUAUUAGUUGUAGCGUUUCAUGUUAAUGCUAUUUAGUAUGGCUCACGCAUUCUCUUUAUUUCUUUCCAUGUCUCAAAUAUUUUAUACUUGAAAUCAAGAUCGUUUGUUGAUCCAUGAAAAGCAUUUGCUAACAGAUUACAAAAUGAACCAGGAAAACGUGUACCUCACAAUUUGGAUUAAAAAAAAAUAAUAAUACAAAAUCCUUUGAGAUGUUGGAUACUUCCUAAACUUAUGUAAUAACAAUGGAUAAAGCUAAUGUAACUACCAUAUUAAAUACUAUAAAUUUAAUUGAAGGCUGUGGAAGAGAAAAUGUGUUGAUGACCUUUUAUACAUGACAAAUGCAAAGAAAUUCUCUUUGUUUUAAAAAUAAUCAUAGAAAAAUUGAUAUUAUAUUAAAAUUAUGAAUAAAUAUAAAAUAUCCUUAUAUUACCACUAUUAUUCUAAUAGGAAACAUAUAUUAGAAACAUUCUUAAUUUUCUUCUACUUUGUACCACACAACAUUUAGAUCUAAGAAUCACAUAUAUGUUGAAUUAGAAUUUCCUUAACCCAAAAGACUUAUGCUUGGUAUAAGCAAUAUUAUUCCUUUUUCUAGACUGUUCGUGUUGAAGAGCCCUUGAAUCAUAGGCAGAUGCUUUUUAAUAACAUAAGAACACUGAAUUUAUUCAAUGGAAAUGAUAAAUAUAACAAAAUUGUAUAUCUAAGGCUAAAAAACUUACCUUUGAUCUAAAUGUUCCUGGAUCAAAAUCAAAACGAAGAAGUUACUCAUUACUACCGUCAUUCAUUAGCUCUGAACAUUUGUGUAGGAUGACUAUAAAACCUUCUUGAGGGAGAGGAGGAUUGAGACUCUCUAGAAAGCAAUGGUCCACAAUAUUGAAACUUUAAAUCUCCAAGGGGGUUUCUAUAGCUCUUCUUAUGGGCUUAAGUGACUUGAGCCAUCUUGGGCUUGAGUUAUUUAAUAUGGUCAACUAGAUAUUAAUUAAUUAACUCUAUUGUUCUCCAAUUAAUUACUUAACUGAAUUCAGAAGAGCUAAAACUAAUUAAUAAAAAAAAUCUUGUGUAACUUUCUGUUUUUACCUAAACGAUCUUAUACACAUAAAUGGUUGAUCUUCUAUAAAACUUGAAGUCUUUGUGCCAACAAAGUUUAUGAGCUUGAAUAAGGACCAUUGAGACCCAUGAAAAUAUUGGUUCUUUCAUAAUUCAAUUUUAAAGUUGACUCAAGAUUCCACUAAAGAGAGUCAAUUGCACUUCAGUAUUCUAUGAAAUUACAUCGAAACAAGAAGUUAGAAUCCGUGACCUAUUAAUCGACUAUGUGCAAACUUCUCAUAAACUAGUGUUUGUAAUCUAACAAAGUGGAUAUUAUAAACCUCUCUCAAGAUUAUAUCUAAAAUCCUUGAGUGUUAGAUCCUCCUAUUAUGAGAUCAAAUCAAUUGACAUAUUCUAAGAACAUACGUCAAAUUCCACUUCAGAAAUUAUUAUGAGCACUGUUUAUAUGAUCACAAGUUCUUAGGAUACAUAAUUAGAUGAUGCACUGUCUCAAUUCCAUAAAAUAUCAUAGUACCUAUCUUGAGAAUAUCUAUUAUUACCUGCCUUAAUCAAUAAUGACCCAAUCUUUAGAGAAUAUAUGACCAUCUUAGAGUCUCAUUCAUAGGUCAAAGUCACUAAAGACAUCAUCACUAACUCAAUAUUCUUUCAAAGUUGAGAGUCUAUGCAAUAUAAUAAAUUAGUGAAUCAUGACAACCUUGUAUCCAAUAUCAUGAUUUAUUAUAAGUCUUGUUCAAUGUGUAACGAUACAUACUAAUGUACUCAUCAUGAAAAAGACAUCCCAAUGAUAAAGAUAAGUCAUCCUUCCAAUUAGGAGGUGACACGUUACAAUGUUUGAUAGAUUGUCUAAUUUCAUGGAUCAACAUUGAACAACUAAUUAUUUUGCAAGGAAUCUAUGAAUUGGAUUUUUUGUGCAAAUCAUAUUGAACCUAAGUUAUAUAUAAUGCAUGUAAUACAAGUAUGAAUUCUCAUAUAAGUAAUUAAUGCAAUUAAGGAGAUUGAAGGAAACUAAAAAUCAUAAUAAAUAAAUAUAUUAAUGAAGUUUUUUUAUUACAUCUUUCAUGCUUUCAACGGCCCUAUCUUAACACCUUGGUCAGAUAAUCUAUAGGGUGAAUCAAGAUACUAUGUUUUGAAAAUAGUAGUGAAUUUAAUCUCAAACUAGCAUUGAAUUGUGUUGUUAGUGAAGUCCUUGAUUUAAGGUCACAGAAUGCAUAUAAAGAAUCUCACAACCAUUUAUGUGUACAUGUAUGAUACAUAUAAAGAAUGUUGGAUAAAGAAAUUAUGAACACGGCCAAAUCAAAAUCGUGUAUUGCCAUUGAUAUAUUUGGCAAUAGUGUGUGGUUUACAUGGAAAUCUAGUGGUGGUAGAAGCUUAUAAAUAGAGACUUCAUCUCCUCAUUCUAAUUAUCCUAGAGUUGAGAGAAAAAAGAGUGGUGCAACUCUGUGAAAAAGUGAGGUUCUCUUGAGAGUUAGAGAAUUAUUAUUCUCUUGGUUGUAAUCGGGUUUUGGGUUUAUGAGGAAUGAGUGCUCAUAAACACUUGUGAUUAUUUUUCUCCUUAUAGUGAAGAUCUGCAGUAGCUCUGUGACAUAGCCUGCUUUUGGUAAACCAUGUAAAUUUGUGUGUUGUUUUUGUCUACUUCAUUUAGUUAUUAUUUCCACAUUAUUUUUAUGACUUUAUUAAUCUAGUGUUUGGAAUAUUAAUUUCCUUACAAAUUGCAUGUCCACUGAGAUUAACACUAGGAAUUUUGUUGCCUAUAUUCAUACACAAAAUGGUUUAGUGCAAUCCCUUGGAUCCUUAAUUAAUGACAACUUGGGAUUCAUUAAGUCUGAAUUUUCCAUCCUUUAUAAGAUAGCUUGAACCUAUGUUUGGUAAUGUUUGAUGAGACAGUUUUCUGUUGGAAAAUCAAAUUUGAAAGAUAGGAUAUAAUUUCAUGGGAUGCAUCCAAAUGAUUUCAUUUUAAAUUUUAUGACAAAAUCAAAUUGAAUUAGAAGUUCGGAGGAUUAUUGAAUUGGAGAAAAUUGAAAAUUAUCAUAUGCAACAAUUGACAUAUGGACAUUAAUACUAAAGGAAUGAUUUAAACCAUACAUUUCACGACAAUAAAAUAGUUCUAAGAGUCAAUGACCACUGAUAGUAACACUCGGUCGUAUGUCUGUCCACCAGAAAAUGGACAUGACUAAAGGAAUUUGAGAUUUACCUGGUGAUUUGAGAAAAGCAUCUCCUAGUACAUUGGAAAUCAGUUGAUGAAACUAUAACAAGAGAAAAUAACAUUGAAAAAGAAUUCUGAAAAACAUGUUAAUGGACAUACUCUCUUUAUAGUUUUGUUGGAUUUGAUGAUAGAAAUGCUAAGGUUAAAAUUCUUGGAAAACAAUAUAGUAGCUUGUUACAUUGAAUUAGAAGUUAUCCAUACAAAUCAUUAGGUAACUUCAUUAUAAUUAAACAUUAACAUCCAACACUUUCAGCUUGCAGUUCUAUGUUGCUAAGCAUGUAUCAAAAGCUACAUUCAGUACGUCAUUUUCAUUUAUCCACGUUAUAAUGAAAUUCAAUAUAUUUAAAUAUUCUCAUUUAGUUGAUGACAUCCCUCUAACAUAUGAUUCAAUAUUUUAUCCGUAAUUCUAUUUUUAUGAACUAGACCUAUCCAUCACAGACGAACCUCUACUUCAUGAUUAUUUAUUUAUCUUUUAUAGCUCCUUCUCACUUGUCUCAAUUUAAUUUGUUAUACUUUUAUAUAUGCAGGCCCGAGGCAGAUGUUGUUAAGACCAUUACUAGAGAUAUGAUAUGUGAGAUAAUAGGUAAAGACUGUGUUGAGGAUGGCCUAGUUGAUAAAAAAUCCCGUUUGAAAAAAUUAAAAGAGUUGAUUUGGAAAUCAGAAGAUGUUAGCAUGGAUGGGAUUAGGAGGAAAUCAAGAGAUGUUCUCAUGGUUGGGAUCUUUGGAAGCGCUGGAAUAGGGAAGACAACUAUUGCCCGAGCUUUGUAUGAUGAAAUUUCUUGUCAAUUUGAUGGUGCUAGUUUUCUUGCAAAUAUUCGAGAGGUAUCCAAAAAGGAUGGCCUAUGUUGCUUACAAGAACGACUUUUUUGUGAUAUCCUAUUAGGAGGUCGAAAAGUAAUGCUUCUUAGAAGGGACAAUUUGAUGGAGAGCAAAUUUUGUACUAAAAAAGUUCUUAUUGUUCUUGAUGAUGUAAAUGAUAAGAAACAAUUGGAAUUAUUAGCCGGAAGACAUGAUUGGUUUGGUAAAGGAAGUAGAAUCAUUAUAACGUGUAGAAAUGAACAUUUGUUAUUACGACAUAAAGUGGAUGAGUCUUAUGAGUUUAAGAAAUUAGAUGGUCUUGAAGCUCUAGCACUCUUGUGUCACCACGCCCUUACCGAAGAACAAUCUCCAUUUAAGCGUUUUCUCUUUUUAGAUAAUAUAAGGGCUCGUUGUGAAAAUAAUCCUUUAAAGCUUAAAGUUGCGGGUUCUUAUCUACGUGGCAAGGAAGAUGCGAAUUGGGAAAUUUAUGUAAAUAGUAAGUUUUUGAAAGUGAGUUAUGAGGACCUACUUGAGGAAGAAAAGGAUAUAUUCCUUGAUGUUGCAUGCUUCUUUCAAGGGGAGUGUGAAGAUUUUGUUACAAAAAUACUAGAGAAACCUGAUUUCUCUGCUAAACAAGGAGUGCAAGUUCUAAGCAAUAGGUGCCUCUUAACAAUUUCGGAAGGAAAGUUAUGGAUGGAUAAUUCAAUACAAGAAAUGGCCUGGAAAAUUGCUAACAAACAGGCACAGAUACCAGGCAAACCUUGCCGCUUGUGGGAUCAUAAUAAAAUCCUACACGUACUGAAGAGAAACGAGGUACCUUCCAUAUACACUCUUAAAUGUCUAUAGCUUAAGAAAAAAAUACUGACACAUAUACACAUGAAAUUUGCUUUACUUAUUUGUGGCUCUUUCUUGUAGGGGAUACAUGCAUUAAUUGAAGGCAUAUCCUUAGAGCUAUCCAAAUCAAAAGACAAAAAAUUUUCUGGUGAAGCCUUUUCCGAAAUGGAUGCACUCAGAUUGCUAAAGGUCUUCUUGGGUUCUGGAUGUGUUAAUGACAAAGAGACUUAUAAAGUGCAUUUUUCUACAGACUUUACGUUUCCUUCAUAUGAUAAGUUAAGGUAUCUCCAUGGGCAUGGAUACCAAUUAGAUUCUUUUCCUUCAAACUUUGAGGCAGAGGAGCUUCUUGAACUCAACAUGCCAUGUAGCAGCCUAAAACAAAUUAAAGGGGAUGAGGUAUGAUUAUAUAUAUAUAAAUGCUUGCUUUUAAGAUGAGCGUUGAUGUAAAUAGAAGCUAAUUUUCUUAAUUAAAAUGCUUUCUUUCACAGAUUCAUUUUCCAAAUUUAAUUGCCCUUGAUCUUAGUCACUCUCAACAAUUGGAAACCAUCUCAAACUUCUCAAGGAUGCCAAAUUUGGAGAGACUGGUUCUUGAAGGUUGUAGAAGUUUGGUUAAGGUUGACCCAUCUAUUGUAAAUCUGAAAAAGCUUUCUUUGAUGAAUUUGAAAGGCUGCAAAAGGCUUAAGAGUCUUCCAAAGAGAAUUUGUAAAUUCAAAUUUCUUGAAACUCUUAUUCUCACGGGUUGUUCGAGACUUGAGAAAUUGCUAGGUGACAGGGAGGAACGGCAAAAUUCAGUAAACCUGAAGGCAAGUCGAACUUAUAGAAGUGAGUAUAAGAUACUGUUAUUUUGUUUGGUUUUCGCACACUAUUAGGUCUAAGAAAAUGCCAUCUAUGUGAUAGGGCAGUCCCCAGUCAUUUUUUGAUGCUUACUGUCAUUGCAAAAGUUAAAUCUAACUGGAAAUGACUUUAUUAUCAUACCAGGAGUCAUCAUUCUACCUCCGGCGCUAAGAAUUCUUCACUUGGGGCAUUGCAAGAGGUUUCAAGAAAUUCUAAAGCUUCCUUCAAGUAUUCAAGAAGUAGAUGCAUACAACUGCAUUUCUAUGGGAACUUUAUCGUGGAACACCAGACUAGAAGCAUCCAUUUUACAGAGGAUCAAGGUUUCUCUCUCCCUUGUUAAACUUUGUUAUUUUCAAGGCAGAACUUUGCUCUCUUUUUCAUGAUAAACUUUAAUUUUGAUGGCAGAUUAAUCCGGAAUCUGCAUUUUCUAUCGUUCUUCCUGGGAAUACAAUUCCAGACUGUUGGGUCACCCAUAAGGUGACGGGAUCUUCAGUGACUAUGAAGCUGAAAAAUCCUGAUCGGUACAACGAUGACCUCUUGGGAUUUGCCGUGUGCCUUGUUUUUGCACCACAGGCUGAAAGGCCUCAGCUAAAUCCUGAAAUAUUGUGUGAAUUGAAGAAUUUCACAUUUUUCUACAGUUGUGGCGAGGACAGUGUAGAUGAAUUUCCAGAGUCAGAUCAAGAAUGGGGCAACAACAGUACAGAGCACGUGUGGUUGGCAUACCGACCACAUGCUCGAGCUGAUAGAUGUCAUCCUAAAGAAUGGAAUCAUAUUAAGGCUUCAUUUGAAGUCUUUGACUGUGUGGUGAAAAAGUGUGCUAUUCGCCUUAUAUACAAGUAGUGUUUGGGUAAGAAACCCAGUGAAAAUGGAAUUUAUGGCUCAUACUCCGUUGAUAACUCCAUUAUUCAUGAUAUUUCAUCCAGCUUCCAAAACUUUUGGAUUGUUUGAUUUGAAUGUUCCAAAAUAUCCAUAUAAACUCCUUUCUAAGAAAGUCUGUUUCUCUGUGGAUAUCACCUUUGUUUCUCUCCACCAAUUUAUAAAGAUUGAUUCAUCUGAAAUUGAGCAAUCAUCACUGACCUGAGGAUUUAAGUGAUCAUCUCCACUGCCGGUACGAGUUAUCGCCUGUCUGAAAACCACCCUUUUUACUAAUCAGGGUGCUGCCUCCCUCACUCCCACAGCCAGAAUCCACAAAUUAGCACUGGACUUUCUCCUCCACCUGUAGCUGGCCAGUUUUCUCCUUAAUUUUCAAGAUCAAUUGAUGGUCACAUAAAGGGAGCUAUGUUCCUAUUUGCAGAUAUCUUGCCUGCAUUCGUUGGAGAGGAAAAAAGAGUGGGAUUGUGGGCGAGGCAGUGUAAGGGCUUAUUGUCACAAGAUGCUUCAAAUGACCCUCCCCAUGGCUUAUAUAGGAGGUAAGAAGCUUUUAGAGACCCUUGGAGACAUCCACACUUAGCCACUAGUGGGAAGAGUGUGGAAGGUUCUAGAAAUGCCUAGAGAAGUCCACACAACUCUACACUAUGGUAGAAGGCAUGAGAAGGGUCCAAAGCUUUCUAAAGAAAUCUAGAAGUCUCUUGUAUAUAGGCUUAUACAUAGAAUAGUGUAGGACAUUCUAGAAUAUUCAUGAAUUGUAAGGAACCCUCCAAGGUUCUAGAGAGUUCCAUUGGUGCCUAUAAAUAGGUGAGGGCCUCAUUUGGCCAAGGCACCAAACAAGUGAGCAUCCAAGCACUUGUAAAGGCUUUCUUGAGUUAAUAAGAGCUUCCAUUCUUUAAGGAGUUGCCUACUAAGCUCUUAAGCUUUCGAGUCGCGAGUGUCUUAGCCGAGCAAGCUAAGCAUUGGGGAUCAAGGCUGACUUAGCAAGAUCAAGCGUCUUGACUUGCCUAAGUGCCGCACGAGCUUAGUGAACGACUAAGUCCGUGACAUUAUGGCUUUGGUGUGGGGGGAUCUUCAGUGUGAGAGUGAAUUGUGGGCUGUUCUGAUGAGCUUUAUCUUUUGAUGUGUUUAAUGUCUUUAAGAUAAGGCCUUGUUUCGUUGUUUCUAUAUAUCUUUACCUCCAACUUUGUACAUUCUCCUUUGAAUCUUUUUCAUACCUGGAAAAUGCUUCUCCGAAACUUCCCAUCUGCUUUCGGACGUCGGAUGGAUCUCCGUGAUAAAAAAUUGGCACAACCGGUUGUUCCAUUUCUUUCCUGCACUCCAUGAUCUUCACGUGCUCAUUCAAGCACCAUCCGGAAUUAGCAUAGUUUUCUGAGAAUACGACUAUAGAAAACCUUGAUUCCUCGAUAGCUUUCAAGAUUUCUGGAGCAAUCUCUUCUCCUCUCUUAAGUGUAUCAUCUCUGAAAGUUUUAAUGCCUUUGUGAACUAAAGUGGUAUAAAGGUGAUCAGUAAAGUUGAAACCGGUAUCUUUGCGUCUAAAGCUCAGGAAAACAUCGUACCUCCAUGGACAGACAGAAGUUGACGAGGAACAGAAAGCUUUUUGAGCACUAGUGUAAGCCAUUGAUGAAGUGCAUGAACAAGAGUUUGGAGAUUUCUCUACAUAUCAUGAAUGAUUGACCUUUGCAAUAUAAGGUCAACGACUCCAAUAAUAUUUUAACAAUAUCAAGAAAGUUUAAUUGCCUGUGAAUCCUCAGAUCAACUGUAGCAAAAAAUCUUGCAAGACCAAAAUGUCCUUCGUGAAUCUUGGGUUUGGAUCAUUGAAUUUUAAUUUUUCUUUUUAUUUCAUCUUCAUUGUGUAAAUUAAGUAUUAUACGCAUUGUAUAUAUUUAGAUAUUAGAAGGAAAAUAUGAAUUAAUUAAUUGUUCAGAGGGCUUGAUCAAGUGAAAAUGAUAUGAUAUAUGGCAAGUUAGCUGAAUUUUUCAAUAAGCAUUUUGUGUUCCACUGUUUGGUUAAUUUUCUUAAUUUUUGUUCAUAAUGGGUUUAUCUCCACCUUCUUGUAAAAUGGGGCGAAACACUUGUUUACCAUGAAACUCUAUUUUCUUAAUAACCACAAAUAUAUAAAUUUGAAUUGGUCAAACUUCAACAACCCAAUUAUUAAUUUAAGGAAUUUUUAAUUGAAUGUGAAAUAUUACAAAAAUAUUACAACAUGGAAAAAAUAUUAUAAAAUUUGAUGGCUUAGGAUGAUAGAAUUGGAUGCCACCUUGAAUUUGAACAAUAAUGUUAUGGUAAAAAAAAAUAAAAAAACAAAUCCAGUGAGUUUGAGUCAUGAAGAAAAAUCCUCUAAAAUUAGUUGAAAUAUUACUAUUUUUUCACCUUGGCUCAUACCAUUAUAGAACCCUUUUAUAUUAAAAAAUAAUUUAAUUAAUUCAUAAUUAAGAUAUAACAGUUAUAUGGAUGGUAUCAAGAUAUUCAAUGGGUAAUAUAUAGUGGCCAAACUUUAUAUUCACAAAUCCUUAAAGUUAACGGCUGUGAAAAUUAGUGCAAUUUGAUCAAUAAUUCAAUAAUCAAAUAAGAAUAUGAAUUAAAAACUAUUCGAUUAAUGGAUCUUAGCUAACUACUUUAUUUAGGGGAACCUAUAAAUACUAGCUGACUUUUGUAUAGUCUUCUAAUUAGUUUCCUACCAUUUAUUGUUUGAUGAUGCUUCUUAAAAAUGAAAUCUUUAAGAAGAUGUGUUCUUAUAUUCUUCAUUUAUUAGGUUAAGGUGAUGAAAUUUUGAUAAUUUUUUUUUAUUUUUUAUUUUGUAUUAUUUUCCUAAUCUUUUGAGAGUGUCCAAAUCUUCCUCUUUGGUUAAAUAAUACAUUUAUAAUGCUCUAUAUUCGUAUUUAUUUUCCUAACUCUGUGAUGACGUGGUUAGGAGAUGACCAAUUUGAUCACUCAAUGUUUCAUUUUAUUUUAUUUUUUAUUUUUUAUUUUUUUUUAUGAAGAGAGGUUUGGUUUGAUCCUGUAAUCUAAAGGUGGAUAAAAAAUUAUGGGAAUCACUAAUCAAUGUUGACAAAUACCAUCAUUAACAAAAUUAAAAUUAUAAAAUCUAAUUGUAGUGUACUUCUAAUAUUUAAUUUAAUUUUAGUCCGAAAUAGGGAUAGGGAUAGGGAUGAACUUUUCUCUCAGAGAGCUGGCUCCUAAUCAUUACUAUUCAUUCUUUCUUGGGAUACGUGCAAGACUUGUAGGAAUAGAAUGGUCAUGAUGUUCCGCAUGAUCACUAAUCCCAUGUUUCGAACUUCUAAGGGAUUUAUUGUCUUCAACUGUGUUGCAUGUUGCAUUAAAAGAAAAGGGUUUGGUAAUCAUAUAGUUUGAAAUUUGAGAUAAAAUUUUGUCCUGACAUACUUCCAUAAUGUAUGUAGCAGGUAAGAAGGACUAAAUAUGAAAAAAUUUAGAAUUUUGUCCUUACACCUCAAAUUGAGGUUUCAACUACCUGGAAAAUUGCAUUCUUCUUGAGUUUUGUAUGGAUUUGAUUCUAGCACAAUGAUUCCUCUAUUGAAAAUUUUAAAAUAGUUGGAAUUCCGUAUCUUCCAUGUUGGUGACACGUAUUCAUGUGAAAAAUUCUCCACCAACUCCCCGACGCGAUCUAAAAUGGGAAGAAAAAAAAAAAUGGAAGAAAGCCAAAUGGAGAAGAAUUUUUUUUUUAUGGGAGGGGAGGGAAAUUUGAAGAAGAUAAAAGGAAACGAAAAAGGAUAUGAAUGGAUUAGGGGAAGAUAUUAAUUCGUACAAAGGGAGGAGGAAGGCUAACUUUUGAAAGGAGGAUACGAACGGUAAGGGGAGGAGUUUUAGAGGGGAAAUGAGAGUCUUUAGGUAAAAAAACAAGAGGGAAAGAGAUGGAGGAUGAUUGAGAGGAGAGGGAAUUUGAAGGAAAAGAGGGUGUGGUUUGAUGUUUAACAUCACAACAAAAAAUUAUUGAUAAAUGAAUUUAAUCAUCAAAAUUAGAUGGAAAUUUAAUAUGAUUGACCCUUGAAGUUAUGUUUGAUUUUUGAAAAAUUUGAAGAAAAAAAAUAAAAAUAAAAAUAAGAAAGAAGAAAUGGAGAAAAAUAAAAUAUAGGUUCAAAUUUAAUAAAUUAUUUUUAUAUGUUUUUUUAAACUCAUUUUACUUAUUUUUUUUUAUUAUAUAAAAAUUAAAUAAUUUUAAAAUAUAUAAAAUUUUAACAAAUUUUAAUUAUAUGUUUUGGUCCUUGCUUAAAGUACAUAAGUUGACGAAUAAUGUUUUGGUCCCCACACCCUCUUCUCUUUUGUUGUCUGCCACUCGAUGGGUUGACGUGAAUUGUGGAAGAAAAGUAUGCAUAUAUUUGACAAAAAGAAUUAAGAAUAUUGGCAGCAAGUGCCCAUUGACUUUUAGGGUUUACCCUUUUCUUCUUUGAAGUUGCAUAGAGAACUUCAAAAUUGCUUAAGAAGGCCAAGAGCAGUGCCCAUUGAGCAUCCAAAAACUCUCUCUUGUUCCCCGAACUCUUGUAAUUCUCGCACCAGCAAUUCACAAAUGACUUCAUCUACCAUUCAAAGAGCCUCUUCUUCUACUUGUAUCCGCAAUAGUUAUCAUGUAUUUCUGAGUUUUAGAGGUGAAGAUACCCGGAAGAAUUUCACAGAUCAUCUCUAUACAACUUUGGUUGCAUAUGGACUUCAAGUCUUUAGAGAUGAUGAAGAACUUGAGAAAGGAGGAGAUAUUGCAUCAGAUCUCUCAAGGGCUAUUCAAGAGUCCAAGAUUUUUAUUAUUAUUUUCUCAAAAAAUUAUGCCAACUCCAGAUGGUGUCUAAAUGAACUUGUGAAGAUCAUGGAGCAAAUGGAAGAAAAAAAAAAAUCAAUGGUUCUACCAGUUUUCUACCAUGUGAAUCCAUCGGAUGUUCGGAAGCAAUCAGGAAGUUACGAAGAGGCAUUUUCCAACCAUGAAGCGGAUGCAAACCAGGAAAAGUGCCAUGUUGAUGACCAGUAAUUACUCUUCUUCUCACCAAUGAUUUAGAAAUUAAUUAUGACACUUUUCUUGUUAUCUAAUUACAAAGCUUGGUAGUUUUUAUAGAUUAUAUAUUACUAUCCAAAUGAAAGCAUCCCCAUGCUAUCAAUACCCAGUUUUAAAGAAAAUAAAUAAGUUGGUUCAGAAAUGCUACACUGACCAAGUUUAAGUGUGGGUUGAGUCUUUACCAUUGCAUUAAGAUCGAACUUACUUAAUAUAAGUUAUUUUAUCAAUUUGGUAUCUUUCGUUUAUUUAUUCAUUUGAAUCUAUUUAAUUUGGUGCAACAUGGUAAUGUCCUUUUACUUGAAUUUUAAAAAAUUCUUAGCAACAUUUAACAUUUUAUCUAUAAUAAUAUAUUAAUAACUUAAUUUUUUUUCUCUGUUUAAAAAAAAUCAAUAUGAUGGAUUAAAAUGAAAUGCAUAAAUUAUAAAUUCAAAAUUUAAUUCGAUCUUAUGCCUAGAAGCAUUAACGUGACAUUAUGUUUGUUGUUGAUCCAUCUAUUGGACUUGGUCUAACCCUAAUCAAUACUUGUCAGUAAUAUGAGUAUUGAUCACCAAUCCAGUUGCAAUAAUUAUAUUUUCACUUCAUAUUGAUCUAGAAUAAUUAAUGUAGAGAUGGAUUGGAUGGAAGAAAAAAAUGGAGCUUUGAAGAAGGUUGAGUGGGGUUGGAGAAAGGCAUUUGGGGGUAGAGGGUUAAGGCUUCUAAGCCUAUCGUGUAUAGCUGAAAUGUAAAAAGCAAAGGCUUUUAUAGCAUUGAAGAAGAUGACACUUCCACAAAGUGACAACAUUGUCUAAAAUAUUAAAAAGCUCUAACAGGAUUCUUAAUUAAGCUGCCAUUGUUGCCUGGAUACUACAAGCAACAAGAGAAGAUUCCAAAAAGCGACAUCUUUUAUGCAAUUGGAAAAAGCUCCAUUAUAUUUAUCUGGAAGUGCCAUGUUUUACCUAUUUUUAUAAGCUCAUGGUAAGAGAGUCAAGGAAUUAAGGAAUUAACUGCUAAUAAAUGCAUUUUUAUAAGCUCAUAUGUUUUCAAAACAGUCUUAACAAUAUUAAAAUCACUAAAGUACUUUCGUCAAUUCCUAUAGUUGUGAGAUGAGUUACUUUAAUUGCCUCACUAGAUAAGUGAUGCAUAAAGACUCUAGAUUCCAACUUCUUGAAUUCUUAUAACAUCAAUAUCGAUUGUUUGCACGUUCUCAUAACACCAAGAAAUUAACUAGAUUGAAGUUCCAUCCACAUUUCAAUUGCCAAACCUUCUUGAAAACAACCAGCUUCCCACAUCCUAACUUACCCUAUAUUCUAGUUUAUGACUUACUCAAAAUAUGUACAGGAUGUUUGCCAUCUUAGUGUCAGAUGAAUCACAAAUGGCAAGAGCUCAUAUUGUUCCAAACUUGUCAAUGAAUAUCUUGAGAAGAGAGCACCACAACCACCUAUAUAUGUAUCUCUUUUAACACAAGUUUUCAGUUGGACUUUCCAAUGAUAAGAUUCAACAACAUGCCUCUAUGGGCACUUCUCACAAUUCCAUUUCUUGUCACAAUGCUUUCUAGAGUAGUGCUUCUUAAUUCCAGUGAGGUAGCUAAGAGCCCAAGGUAGGACAUAUCUCUGGACACAAAUUGAACUUCCUCAUGUUUUUUGUUGUCUUCUGCUUAAGCUUCUAAGGCAAGUUGUGUCCUUAUCUGUUGAGCUAUAAGUUUGCUCCCUUUGAAAUCCAUUGUUGCCCACCUGACAUGUACACAUAUUUAAGAGCAUUAAGGUCUUACAAGAUAUUGAAAUUACCUCUACAUCUGGUGCAGGUAUUAAAUUUUUUUAAAAGAUGGUAGAUCAUCACACAUAAUUUUUUCUUUUUCUCAAUAGACAUAGUCACGCAUAUAACAAAUAUAUUUAUGAUUUCAUGUGGUCAUAGUUUUAUUUUAUGUCAAAACAAUGCACUAAAAUGUCAUAUUUUAAUGAUUUCAGCAAUGGUCUAAUGCUCAAUGAUGCAACAAAUGCACCUAAACAUCAUAUUUUAUUUUCUAUGAUAAUAUAAUUAGAACUUUGAAAUCCAGAAAAAGGGUUUUGAUCUCUUUCUAUAGUGUGUUUACUUCUAUAAGAGUAAUAAAUAGUAAACUCUUAUAGGAAACCCAUAAUAUUUCUCUUAGAAAUUAGUCUAUACUCAUCAUUUAUGCUUGUCUAGUGAGCACCAUAUAAGAAUUAUCCUAGCUAUGUGAGCACUAUUGCUGACCACUCUUACCCUGUACAACCAUCCACCUCCAGUCAUUUUCAACUCACAAUUUCUACUCGGCAAUUAAGCCACCAUUAUUGAACAUUCUUAUGUACCUUGUACAGUUGCCUACUCCCUGUCAUUUUCCUCUCAUAAUUUCUACUCCCUUACUAAGCACUAUAGUUGAGCAACCAACAUGCUUAAAUAGUUUGAAUGGAAGAUUGCUCACAAUUCGCACUUGUCAAGUGAGUACUAACCUUGAGCACAAAAUCCUUACACAAUGCCGACAUCUUUGUACCAACAACAUAUCGAGCACCAAUCCUAGGCUCCUUCUAAUGAAUUAUACCUACUCUAUUUUCACUCAACCAGUGAGCAUAAUUGUUAAGUACUCACUAUUACAAUGCUUAAUCAUUGUCAUCAACUUCUUUCACCCAUGUUUCCAACAUCAUCUAAUUCUUCAGCCUGUGUCACGCGCACAUGGUGCCCAACUUUUAUGUGAUGUCUCCUUCACAUCUCUCAAUGGAUUCACUUGAUCAACCCUGAUCAUGUUAUUCCACGGCACCAUGUUUAUGGAAACAUUGGAUUGCUCUCCAUAAUUUUGGAGGCCCUUUAGUCACCUCUAUGGUUUAAAUUAUACCCUUCAUCUUUAUUAAACAAUUGCCUUUUUCAUACAACUAAAUCAAGGUAUAUUUAUUUUUGUAAGCAUUCUUCUCUAUUUUUUUAAGCAUUGUCAAGUCAAUUAUUUAACAUUUAUGGAGUUUUCUAGAUUUUUUUGUGCAUAGCUAGACUUUAAAGUUAGGGUUGGUUCUCUCUAAUAGAAUUCUCCCAUGUUGGAGUAUGCCACUAAAUUUUAGUUGUUCAAAGAUUGAAAUCCUUGUUCUUAGAUUUCAUAACAUCAGUUUUGCUUAGACUAAUCAUAACUCAAUUUUUAAAUUUACCUAUUGCUUAAGUUGCAUUAGAAAUGCUUGACAUAUUACCAUGACCUAGUCUCCUCUUAUGAACUUCUAAUCUUAAUAGUAAUAGUUUUAGUUACAAGUUAAGUUAGAUACUGCUUAACAGUGUUGAGGGUACUUGGCCAAAUCCUAGCUCUAAUAUGCUCCUUUGAAUCGUUGAAGCUUGAGGCUUUUAACCCUUGGAUCUAAGAUCAAGGGAGGGAAAGUGUUUCUAAACCUCUCUUAAUGGGAUUUCAAAAGCAUAGCCUCCACUCAUGGUUACUCAAUGAAUAGUGCUUCAAGUGCUUUGUGUAUGGUGAACAAAGUCGUGAAAAGAAAUACAAAGUAGAAGCUCCUCACCUCAAGUUUGAGUUGAUGUAAUUUUUAUGAUUCUCUUUUCCUUAUUAGUUAAUCUUCCAAUUUAAUCUAAAUGAUUAACUAUAUCUUUGAAACAAAAUUUGUGAAUUUGAUUUAUGUAUGAGAGGGACACUUUUGUACUCUUGAGAAUUUAGAUUGUGAUAAUAAUUUUUAAUGGAGUACCAUCUCCUCUUGCUAAUGCAAAUGACACAUCUAAAAGCAAGGGUCGAAAAAUGAUUAGUUUCUAUGAAAUUAUUUAGUUUCCUCUAUGGUUUAAACCAUAUCCUUAACCUUUAUCUUUUAAUUUAGAUUUUACUUUGCUUAGGUGGUUAUCUUUAUUGUACAAUUAAAUCAACAUAUAUAUAUAUAUAUAUAUAUAUAUAUAUAUAUAUAUUUGUAAGCCUUCCUCCCUAUUUUUUUUUUACCUAUUCUCAAAUCAUUUCUUUAAUAUUAAUGGAGUUUUUGAGAUUUUUUGUGCAUAGUUAGACUUCUAAGUUAUGAUAUAUUUUCUAUGAUGCAAUUCCCCCAUGUUCAAGUAUGCCACUAAAUUUUAAUUGUUCAUAGAUUGGAAUGCCCGUUUUUAAGUUUCAUCAUAUUGGUUUUAGCGUAAUCACAACUCCUAAAUUUAGCAACAACUUAAGUGCAUUGGAGGUGUUUGACUAAUUACCAAGACCUAUAAACUCCUCUUUUUAAUCAGCAAUUUCAAGGGCAAUUAUUUUUAGUUACAAGUCAACUUUAGCUACUGCUUAAGGGGCUAUUAAUUAGGGGUAUUUUGGUUCGAUAAAUGGAGUAAGUUUAAGAUAGACCAUCCCUUUUUCAACUCUAUUGAUCUCUAAAAUCAUAACCCAAAAACAUGACUAACAUAGUGAUAGCUAGUAUUAAAUUCAUGGAAUUAAUUAGCUACAUUGGUGCCCUCUCAACAAUCUAGUGUAGGUUAAUAAUUUUGUUGUGUGGCAUUUCAAAAGAUAGUAAUCAGUCACCACUUAAAGAAAUUUAUAAAAUAUGAUCAAUAUCAAUAGUAAAAAAAAUGGUAGUAUAUAUCAUUACAAUAAAAUUAAAUUUAGAUUGUAAUACUUUUGAACUUUGAUUCAUUGGAAUUUACAUUUUGAAUUUUAGUUUGUGUAAAAUUUUAUAAUCAUUUUGUACCAAGAAACUAAUUAAAAUAUUCUUUUCAGAAUCCCGGUUUUUUAUAUUCAAAUUUGAAAAAUAGGUUUUAAAUUUCAUAUUAAAACCAAAAAUUUUGACUUUACUACAACAAAAUUCAUUUGGUUAAUGUAGAAAACAUUAAAUUUCUAUUUUCUUCUUUUAUCCGAAAAUGAGUAGUGUUUCAUGUUUAAAAAUUACAAGAAGGCCAACAAUAACGAAACCCUAACUAAAAUUCUCUCAUUUAUUUGACUUUUUGAUAUUUUGUCAAUAUUUAUAAAAAAUUAAGAAAUAAAAAAUUGAGAAGGAAAUAUAAAAAAAAAUAAAAAUGAAACACUAUGUGUAGUAACCAAAUAGAAUACAAAAAAAAAAAGAACAAAUAAUUUGUAGGAGCCCUAGAAAGCAAAUCACCUUGUCUUCCAUAAUACAAAGUUUUAAAACAUAUUAGAUGGAUAAAUCACCCUGUUCUAUAACUCAACGGAGUUGAUGUAAUUUGUAUGAUUCUCUUUUUCUUGUUAGUUAAUCACCGCAUUUAACCUAAAUAAUUAACUAUAUCAUUAAAACAAAAUUGUGAAUUUGAUUUAUAUGAGAGGGAUGCUACUGUAUUCUUGACAAUUUAGCACGUGAAAAUAAUUCUUAAUGAAGUAUGACUCUUGUCCCUAAUGCAAAUGACACAUCUAAAACUAAGGUCAAAAAAAUUAUUAGUUUCUAGGAAAUCAAUCAUUAUAACGAUUUUAUGUUAUUACUUUAGAUGGGAAAUCACUGUUUUAAAAAAUUGUUGUAGAUUAACAGUGUGUUUGAUGAUAAUUCUAAAACGUGUUUAUAAUAUUUUUAACACUUGAAAAUUUUUAUUUUUAAAAUAUUUUAAGGAUUAAAAAUAUUUUUUUAAAUCACCAUCAAACCCAUUCUUAAUCAUAUAACUUUUUAAAAUUGGUGCUAUUGACUCAUUGAUAUCUAAUUGAAAAUUGUCAUAUAACUAAAAUACUAAUCGAUCAUGAAAAUAGAAAUCAUUAUUGGCUUUGUUAGUAGAUGUCUCACCUCUGCUAAGUCAUUGACUCGAUCACAAGAUGCAUGCCCCCUUUUCUUUUUGUUCGUCACCGUAUUCCACAUCACAAGCCAUUCGCUGCAGCCGUCCGCUGGCCUCAUGAGGAACAUUAUGUCACUAUAUAUAAAUAUAUCCUUCUUUUAGGGUUUGGUUCUUCUAUAGUUGGCGGGACCACCAGGUAAAAAAAAUUAUUUUAAUAUAUGAUGCCGAUAACUUUUGAAUAUUUAGUUAAAGUAAUUUGGAGAAAUUCUUGAUGACUUUUAUUUUAAAAUCAUCCACUAAAUUAACUAUUGAAUAAAUAUAGAUAAAGUAUUUUGAAUUAUUUAAUUAAUUUUCGCUAUAUAUUUAAGAAAAUUUUAAAACUUGGCCAUUCACAUUUUCUAAUUGUGUAAUAAUUGCAAAAAAAAAAAAAAAAAAAAAAACUAUUUUCCCUUUUAAUUAAAAUUUCUCAAUCUUAUACAGCUUUUACAUUGGUCAUGAAAAUGUAAUUAAAAUUUAUAGCAAUUUAUGUUACAUAUACUAUAUCAAAAUGGUGUAUAAAGAAUUAGUGAAAUAUGUGCUUAAAUUUUCGUUAGAUCAAAUUGCUUUAAGUUUACAAUAUAAGUAAUGAAUGCCCCCUAUUAAAAUUCAAUAAAAAUAAUUUUUAAAAACAAAUUCAAAGUGAAUCAAAUUUUGAUUUUCGAUUUUAAUUAUAAAAUGACAAUUUGAGGAAAAAAAUGGAAAAAUAACUAAUGUUAAUUAAGGAUAACUAAGAUAAAAUUUUUGAAAGUUAUUUUAGUUAUACCAAUAUCAAAACAAUAAUUGUUCAGACUUUUUUAUUUAAAUUUGAGAAACUUUUAAUAAUAAUCCAUUUCUCUUACUCCAUGAAAAUUCAAGACAACAAAAUAAGCAUAUAGGGCACAUUGGAAACUUCCCAACCUAAAAAGUUAUGUUAUAAGAACAUGGUUUAAAUGAGAAAAUUUACCUAUAAUGAUGAUCUAAUUUCAUUACAAUUGAGCGAUGUCAUGAUAAUAUUUUAACUAUAUAAUUUGGGAAUCUUAGACCUUGGAAACAUCAAUGUAGGCCAUCCAUUUUGUAUUCUUAGCACAUGUUAUUCAUCAUACUUAUUCUCCCUAGCCUUGUGCUUUCGUGUGGUACGGGCAUAGGAUUCCUUUUUGCUUAUCUUUUUGUCUCGCUCCUUGGUGGUCCAUCUAUUACUCAAAUUUAGUACUAACUCUUAGACCACCUUUGAAGACCUUUUGGAGGUAGUUUUUGGAUUUGUGACACGACUUUAGUGGUACCCUAGGUUUUCCUAAAGUUUUAGCGUGUUUGGAGCUCAUAUGGCCCUUUUUGGCCACCCAAGAUCUUUUUGGGGUCAAACUAGUCAAGGGGCACUAAUUCAACUGAUCGACCUAUAGAAACCAGUUAACCCUAAAGGUCAACCUGUUGCAACUAGUUAACCUAGAAGGUUAACUUGUUGUAAUUGGUUAACCUAGAAGGUCGACCUAUUGCAACUAGUUGACCUAGUAAGUCGGCCUGUUGUAACUGGUUAACCUACUUAGUCAACCAUUGCAACUAGUUCACCCAACUAGUCAAUUGAUCGAGCAAUAGGUUCAAUCGAUUGAUUAGGAUUUGCUAUUUUUGGGCCAAUUUUGACUUCUUUUCAAGCCUCAUUAUUUUUAUCUUUAUUUUUUGUCUUUAAGGGUUCCUAAGAGUGUUUUAGGUUAGUUUUUGUGAGCUUUAACCUUGGGUUGAGGUCCCUUGGGUUUAGGUUUGGUUUUAAAAAGUUUUAAGCUUUGGUGGAGAUCAUGACCAUUGUCAGGAUCCCCACAAUUUCUUAACCUAUAAAAAGGGGCCUUGGGAGCUUGUUUUAAGGGGAUUCUCUCGGGGUUAGGGCUUAAGUCUUGCUAUUCUCUCUCUUUAGUCCUGAGAGAGAAACCUAACAUCCAACCUAAAGAUCUCCACCACCUCAAUGACAAGACAAAAUGAGGAUUCAUUGGAUGGAAGAUCAUUACAUUUACGAGAUCUAUAGUGUUAGAGUAUUCUACAUCGAUAGUAAAUGAUUUGGGAACAUCCGAAUCAUAGGUAUGUAGUGGUCUCUAAAUCUAUGAUAUAUAUUUGUUUUGGUUUUAAAUGUCAUGUUUCUAUUGUAUGAUAGAUCUAGGGAGCCUAGGGUAGAUUUCAUACACCCUAAGAUCUAGGGCAUGGGAAUGGAGUAUGCUUAGUUUCCCUACAAUAUGGUUUGUAUGCUUAGAUAAUCCAUUAAUGCAUAUAGAUAAUAAAGGGAACAAGAAACAUAAAUAAAUAAAUUUAUAAAUGAAUCUCAAUUUAUUACAUCAUGUCAUAUUUUCUAGGGCUCUAUCUCAACAAACUCUCAUUAGCUCUAAAGCAUGUUGGGAACACAUAUGAUACCUAAGUUAUCCCAAUGACCAUCAAAGACUCUAAUAGACUAAAUCUUCGUGAAGGGAUCCACCAAUUUCUUCACAUAAGCUAUCUUUUCCACAACCACAUCUCCUUUCAUUACUAUCUCACGUACAAGGAGGAAAAAAUCGCCAAAAAUCGGCGAAAUAUCGCCGAUAUAUCGCGUGUCGGCGGGUGGCGACACGAUAAAUGGAGGAGAUAAGUCGGCCGGCAGAUUUUUCGCAAAAAAUCGCCAAAAAAUCGGCGACACAGGAUAAAUUGGCGAUUUUUUGAUAAAAUCGCCUGAGAAUCCCGUGUGUCGCCGAUUUAUCAGCGAUUUAUCGCCGAUUUUUUGGCGAUUUUUUGCGAAAAAUCUGCCCUCUCUCUCCAGCGUGAUCUGAUGGUCCAGAUCACUUCUGUGUUGAUCCAACGCCCAGAUUUGAAUCCCAACGUUAACAAAGAGAUCCAACAGCCAGAUUGCUUCCAAAUUGUGAUCCAACGGCCAAAAUUAAUUUUAAACGGUAACUUAAGGUUCCAACGGCUAUUUUGGCCUAAAUUUCAUCUAUAAAUAGCCAAUUUUGCAUCAAUUUCAUCCAUCUUUGCUUUGAUUCUUCAUUUCCUCUCUUACUACUCCAAUUUUUUCCAAGAUUGCUCAAUUAUUCAAUCAUUUUAAGGUAUGUUUGUUUGAAAUUAUAAUUAAUUUUGUUUGCAAUAAUUAAUUCAUGUAUUUUUAAUUAAUUAGUAUGUUUACAUUUAAUUGUAAUUAUUUUGUAUAUUUUUAUUGAAUUAAUUUAGGUUAUGAUAUAUUUAUUUUAGAUGAUUAUUUGUGAUUUAAAUUCGUAUUUAGAAUUACAUUAAACUAAUUAACUUAGCUAAAUUGUUUAAUUAAUUUAAUUAACAUAGUAAAUUAUGUAAUUAAUUUAAUUAACAUGGUUAAUUAUGGAAUAUUAAAUAUGCUCAAUUUUUUAUAUUAUCGCGAUUUUUUUUUCAUAUUCAAUUAUAAUUAAUUUCAAUAUUUAGUAAAUUUGUCAUAAAAUUACAUUUAGAUUUUAAAAAUUAACUUAGGUAAUUUAUUUAAUUAGCUAAAUUAACAUGAACUACUAUAUAUGGAAUAUUAAAUAUGCUCAAUUUUUUAUAUUAUCGCGAUUUAUUUUCAUAUUCAAUUAUAAUUAAUUUCAAUAUUUAGUAAAUUUGUCAUAAAAUUACAUUUAGAUUUUAAAAAUUAACUUAGGUAAUUUAUUUAAUUAACUAAAUUAACAUGAACUACUAUAUAUGGAAUAUUAAAUAUGCUCAAUUUUUUAUAUUAUCGCGAUUUAUUUUCAUAUUCAAUUAUGAUUAAUUUCAAUAUUUAGUAAAUUUGUCAUAAAAUUACAUUUAGAUUUUAAAAAUUAACUUAGGUAAUUUAUUUAAUUAGCUAAAUUAACAUAGAUUUAAAUUUAAGUGUAUUUUUCUUGCAAUAGAUUUAGCAUGGCUAGUGAAGGUGGUUCUGCUGUGCCAGGGCGAGAUCCGGCUUGGAAGUAUUGUUUACCAAUUGAGGGUAAUCGAAAUGGAACAAUUUGUAAUUUUUGUGGGUUGGUAAUGAAAAGUGGAGGCAUCACACGAUUCAAGUCUCAUUUAAUGCAUAAGGACCCGCAUAACAACACCAAAAAGUGUCCAAGAGUGCCGCCCGAAGUGAAAGAAGAGAUACGAUUGUUGGUGCAUGACAAACAAAAAGCAAAAGCAAAGAAAAAUGCUGAUAUUGAAGAAAUUCGUAGUCAAUUACGUGGCACAAUGGGGACGCAUCAUACACAUUUGGUAAACGAAGAUGAUGAUGAUGAAGAUGCUGAGGAUGAAGAUGUGUAUAUGUAUCCGACAGAUAUGCACCCGGAUGAGCGAGAUGCAUAUCGAUCUGUAGUUCGUGCCUCGAAAGCAUCUAAUUGGGAACGUGAACAACAUGAGAAUAUUGUAGGAAGCAAACGCAAAUCAGGAGAGUCUUCUACUGGUAUACCAUCGACGAUGCGAAAAUCACAGAGUAUGCGACAUUCGCAUGAUUCACCCCCUAUUGCCCCUUCGCUUUACAAGUCUUCUGCAGCAAAACAAAAAAAUAUCAAAGAUAUAUUCAAGGGUGGUGCAAUUAAAGAAACGAUGGGACGCUUAAUCAGCAAAUUCUUCAUUUAUGAGAGUGUCGCACCCGCAAAAGCAAAGUCUCAUCACUUCAAGAAUAUGAUUAUUGGUGCACAACAAGCAGUAAUUACUAAUUUAUCAAAUGUUAUAUUGUGUUAUACUUUUAGUAAGUAUANNNNNNNNNNNNNNNNNNNNNNNNNNNNNNNNNNNNNNNNNNNNNNNNNNNNNNNNNNNNNNNNNNNNNNNNNNNNNNNNNNNNNNNNNNNNNNNNNNNNUCCAUAUGAAAUAAAGAACAAAUACUUGGAAAUGGAGUACAAAGAAAUGGAAGCUUAUGUGAACCAACAAAGGGAAAGAUGGAAGACAUAUGGGUGCACAAUAAUGUCAGAUGGAUGGACAGGGCCCACGAAAUUAAGUAUUAUUAAUUUCAUGGUUUAUUCUAAAGGGACCACGGUGUUCCUUAAGUCAGUCGAUGCAUCGAACUAUAUCAAAGACCACAAGUAUAUAUAUGAGCUUUUGAAGACUAUUAUCAAAGAAGUCGGUAAGGAAAAUGUGGUCCAAAUUGUCACAGAUAACGGGUCGGCAUUCAUGAAAGCAGGGAAACAAUUGAUGAAGAAGUAUAACUUAUAUUGGACUCCGUGUGCGGCACACUGCAUCGACUUAAUCUUUGAAGACAUCGGUAAAAGACCCAAUGUUAUCGAGGUGAUAAACAAUGCUCGCAAGAUAACUAACUUCAUUUACAAUCAUGGUUGGUUACUAGCACAAAUGAGAAAGUAUUGUGGUGGAGACAUUGUUCGACCAGGAGCUACAAGGUUUGCUACCAAUUAUAUUGCUCUUGACAGUCUUCUAAAAAAAAGGUCUGAUUUGAAAAAAUUGUUUAUGAGUGAUGAAUGGGCACAACACAAACUCAGUCGCACAAAACUUGGACGAGAAUUGGAGCAAUUAUUGUUUGACCAUACGUAUUGGGACAGAUUGACAAAUAUAGUUUCAUUAUAUGAGCCAUUAUACGUGGUGCUUCGACUUGUGGAUUCUGAAGUUGUUCCCACAAUGCCAUUUGUGUACGAGCUUAUGCACGUGAUGAAAGAGAACCUUAUUCGUCAAGGAGCUGGAGAUUGGAUGUUCAAAAUAAUACAAGAUCGUUGGCAGAAAACACUAAAACAUCCACUUCAUGCAGCAGGUACUUAAAUACUAUAUAUCUUUAUAAGUUUUUACUUUGUAUUUAAGUUUCUUUAAAAAAAAAAUACUAACUCUACUAAAUUUUAUUGUAGCAUACUUCUUGAAUCCAAGAUUUCAAUAUAGGCGUGGAGUUGGUAGUGAUUCGGAACUACUUCAAGCUGUCCAUGAUGUUUUUGCAAAAUUAGAUCCAACUACUGAAUCGCUUGGUCAAUUUGGAAAUGAGGUGAAUAAAAAAUUGUUAUUUUUGUCAAUAAAACAAUAAUUUCAUUCAUCAAUUUAUUUGAACGUUUACUAACAAAUUAAAUGUUGAAUACAUAGCUUGUACUUUUUCGAGAUGCAAAAAGAGUAUUCGGUGAUCGAGCGGCAAUUGCAUCAAGGUCAACCAUGGUGCCCGGUGAGUCUUUAUAGGAAAAAAUUGAUUAUUAUUAUUGUAAGUUCACCACAUAAGUAUUUAUAUGAUUAUCAAAUUCGUUGCAGCUGAAUGGUGGUUUAUGUAUGGGAAUCAAACACCUACAUUGAGAAAGUUAGCCAUCAAAGUUCUCUCACAAACUGCGUCAUCUUCUGCAUGUGAGAGAAAUUGGAGCACGUUUGCUCUCAUCCACACAAAGCAACGAAAUCGUUUGGCUUACUCUCGAUUGGAGCAAUUAGUGUUUUGUUACUAUAAUAUGAGGUUAAAGUUACGCGAUAUGGAGGCAGAAAAUGAUCGAGUUGCUGAAAAAGAUUACCUUGAUCUUCUUGACAUUUCAGCCGAGGUGGGUGAAGAAGAAGAUAAUCAGUUGUUCCAGUGGGUUAGGCCUAUACACUUGGAUGACAAAGUUGGAAAUCCUGAUCCACGAAUUGCCGCUCAUGCUCGAGAAUUUGGAGUUAAUGUUGAACGUGUGUUGUCCGAAGAAGUUCACUCUGAAAGUUUUAGCAAAGAUACUAAUGAUUCCCUUCAUGCGACAUAUUCCCAGCAAGAGAUUGACUCCACAAGUGCUGGCCAUAGUAGUAGACCUAGUGCUGCAGGUACUUCUGCUUCUGGUUACGAUGGUUCAAGAGGUGGAACUGAUGAUGGAGGUGAUAAUGGGGGAGGAGAUAUUGAUGAACGUCGACAUAGUCAAUAUCCAAUCAACCAAUUUACUUGUGAAAAUGAUUUCACACACUGCACACAGGAUGAAGACCAUGGCUCUAGAAGAGCUGGUCCAGGCAUAGGAGCUAUUGGGAAGCCUUAUAGAGGAAGAGAACGAAUGAUGGAACCAUAUAACGAGGAGUUACUUUCAGGGAGUUUUGAAUCUAUGAGUAUAGGGACUCAAUUUAGUGACUCCUCGAAUGAGGCUAACGUCUACCCUCCUCAUGUGAUGAGUUAUGGUCAACCUUCAAGUUCAACAGAUGAAGAGUAUGGUAUGUCGCAUUAUUCCCCUUCCAGACAAAUGCCAUACCAAAUUCCAUAUCAGAUGGAAAAAGGAUUUGGCGUUAACACAUGGGUGAACUUUGAGUAUCCUAUCCAUGUAGAAGCAGUAGGCAGGACUCAAGAGAUAUAUGCAUGGCAUGUUAGAAUUUAUAACCAAUAUUAUCGAGGCUCAUUGACUUGGUACCAAUAUUGUCUCCAACAGCAAGCCGGGGUUCCUUCAUCUAUCAAUCCCAUUGAACCACAUCGAAACUCAUUUUGGUACUAAAGGGACAUUGCAAUGUAAUGUGUACAAAUUAUUGUUAUUUAAUGAAAUGAAGUAUUUGAUGUGACUUUAUAAUGAGAACAAUUACGAAAUUAACAUUUCUUAUAGAUAGACAUGAUAUAAUUACAUCUAAUAUCGCAAAUUAUAUCAUAUAUAUAUCAAAUUUUUCAAUAAACAAUUUUAAAAUGUCUAUUAUACUNNNNNNNNNNNNNNNNNNNNNNNNNNNNNNNNNNNNNNNNNNNNNNNNNNNNNNNNNNNNNNNNNNNNNNNNNNNNNNNNNNNNNNNNNNNNNNNNNNNNUGGCAUGUUAGAAUUUAUAACCAAUAUUAUCGAGGCUCAUUGACUUGGUACCAAUAUUGUCUCCAACAGCAAGCUGGGGUUCCUUCAUCUAUCAAUCCCAUUGAACCACAUCGAAACUCAUUUUGGUACUAAAGGGACAUUGCAAUGUAAUGUGUACAAAUUAUUGUUAUUUAAUGAAAUGAAGUAUUUGAUGUGACUUUAUAAUGAGAACAAUUACGAAAUUAACAUUUCUUAUAGAUCGACAUGAUAUAAUUACAUCUAAUAUCGCAAAUUAUAUCAUAUAUAUAUAUAUAUCAAUUUUUUCAAUAAAACAAUUUUAAAAUGUCUAUUAUACUUCUAAUUAUAUUAUUAUGAGGUUUUUCUUGCAUUUUCAUGAGUUUUUAACAAUUUUAAGCCUACCAAUAAUAUCCACCGAUAUAUCUCCGAUAUAUCCAAAAAUAUCUCCGAUAUAUCCGUAAAAUCGAAUUACCGAUAUAUCCGUGAUUACCGAUAUUUUCAUCCUUGCUCACGUAUCAAGUGAUACUUCCUCUCUAUGUGUUUACCCUUCUAAUGGUUUCUUAGUUUUUUAAACUAUGUCAUCAACCCAAUAUUAUCACAUAACAAUACUAAGGGUGAUGCAGCCAAGGGUACAAGCUUGAGUGUUAUCAGGAACUUCCAAAACCAAAUGGCCUCCUUUGCUACUUUAGAAGCAGCAACAUACUUAGCUUCCAUAGUGAAGUCAACAAUACAUGAUUGAUUCACACUUCUCCAACUUAGAUCCUCACCACCUAGAGUGUUCAUAAAUCCGAAGGUAGAUUUGUAAGACUCUUUAUCAAACUGAAAGUCUGAAUCCUAGUACUCAAAAUGUACCAACUCAUCACAAUGAUACACUAGCAUCAAAUCCCUUAUUCUCCAAAGAUACUUGAGUAUAUAUUUGAUCGUCGUCCAAUGAUUUAAGCCCAGAUUGGACUGUAUCUACUCAUCAUUCCUACAACAAAGCAAAUAUUUGGUUUAGUACAUAGCACUAUCUACAUAAGGCUACCCAUUACUGAGGCAUAGGUUACUGCCUCUAUGCACUCUUUUUCCUUAAGUGUCUUAGGACAUUGAUUCUUAUAAUGACUUUUUUUUUUUUUUGUUAAGAGCUUGAUGUUUAUCUUAGCCUUGACAUUCAAAAAUCAUCAAUGUUUUUCUUAGUUGACAUUUUUAAUAUAAAAAGUUUGCAUUGAAAAAGUUGUGUUUAUAAAUUUUAGUGUUGAUAUUAAUAAAUCAUCAAUAUAAGAUUUUUUUUAAAAAAAAACAAAAAAAACACUAUGCACAUAUUGCUUGAGGGUAUUAGUUGCUAUGCGGCUUUUUGAAAAUAUAAAAUUUCAUAGAAGGUUCAUGUUCAUAAUUCAAUUACUUUCACCAAAAAGUUUAAAGCUUUUGGUUCACUUCAAUUGUGCUUUAUUGAAAACAUUAAUCUAGCUAAGAAAGCGCAUGGAUAUUCUUGGUUGAGCUACCUUAUUUGAGGAUCAUUUCAUGGUGAGAAGAGAACCCAAAGGUCCCCUACUCCACAACAUUUUGUGAAAUUGGGCUAAUACAAGUUUUAAAUCAAGUUCACUUGGAUUUUCCCCUAUUUACAAGCCCCUUUUCUCUAUCAGUUGAAAGAAAGAAUUUCCCUAAAAAUCUAUCAUUCAUUCCUCACACAUCUCCAUUUCACAACAUUCUAAAAUCAACUCCCUAAGGUUCAACGCUCGACUCACCAAGAUUUUUAAAGCUACAAUCGUCUCCCUUUACUUGGGGAAACACCUUUUGACACACAUUCAUUUGAAAGUGGUUAAGUUUUGGGGCAUUGUUGCCAGGGAGGACACAGAAAAAAUAGUGCAGUAAAGUUUUGUGGGAGUUUGUUUGGUUGUGAUUGACCUCACUACUCAAUGAAUUCUUUCUACUCUAGUUGCUUUUUAUAUUUUGUAGUUCAAAUUUUUUCAAUUAAAAAUGAGAGAAGAAAAGAAAAAAAGAAAAAGAAAAUGUUUAGGUCGAAUUGUUUAUUGUUGAACAUUGUUGGGUAACAACAUUUGAAAGACAUACAUGGAAUAAUUGGAAAUAUAUGCACACAUCUUUGCACAUGUCCUAUGACACUUUUGGGAGACUUCACCCAAGCCCUAUGAACCUAGAUAGGAGGAGUGAUCAUUCCAUAUGGAGAACCCUAUUUUUUCCAACAACUUCAUUCCUAGUACCAUGAACCUCAACCAAGUUGCUAUUCCUAUGCACCGACAUCUAAUAUUGUGUUUAAGGAAAUGACUAAUACCAUCAUGGAAUACCAAACCUCCAUCAAUGCUAACAUUAUACAACCUUACAAUAUAUUGCAAACUCUGUAUAUCAACUUACUUCUAUUUUGGUUACCCAUGAGCAAGGAGAGUUCAACUCCUCCAACCUAAUGUACAAAACCAAGGAAACUAGUUGUACCUUAACCUUUUGAGCUAAAAGAAGAGCAAGACAUUAAGGAAGGGCUUUAUGGAAUCCAAAUUUUUGACAAACCACAUUUCAUCAUGUUAAUACAUCCAUGGAACCAUCAAUCUUUAGUUGAGAUGCAUAACUUUAAGGCUGUUGAUUUCCUUGGUAGUGAUUUUUUUUUUUUUAAAAUAAGCCAAAUUCCAAAGAUAAAUACUUGGGCAUAACCUCAACCAAAACCUUAUUUUUCUAAGUCUAAAGAAAGGUCGAGGCAAAAAUUAAGGCACCCAUUGGCAUAGGGAGGCAAAGCCUAAUGUGGUGGAGUUGUGAGACCACCAAGCUCAUAUUUUGCAAGAAAAAGGGCAACUUUCCACACCUCUAUUGAACUUAUUUUUAUGAUCAACCUAAGUGAAUAAAUAAAAGGGUGAACAAAAAAGAAAUCUACCUAUCUUUAUUUUGUUUACCCUAUUUUAUGGCUGCUUCAUUGUAGUUUGUUUCUUUUAUAACUUUUAAAUAAUCCUCGAUGUUAUCCUUAUACUUUCAUUAAUGUUAUGAGAGGUAAUAUCCUUCCAUUUACUCAUUCUUUUUCCACAAUAUUAAAUUGUCUUAUUCCUUCAUUGUCACUUGAAAACAUUGAAGACAAUGUUUAGUUGUUGAAUAUUAUAUGAAUAUGAUGUGAUAUGAUAUGGUGUGGUAGAGGAUGGGUUAGAAUGAAAAUUUUAAAAAGAAUAAAAUAAAAAAUAGAACACUUGUGAAUAUUUAUACUUCACACUUGCAUAUACAUCUAAUUUUUGUUUAACCUUUAGAAAAGUCUUCCCUAGAUUAUAGUUUAAGAGUCUUUCGUAACAAAACUUUGGAGGAUAAGUAAGUUGAAACCAGGUUUCAUGAAGACUAAGGGUUGAAUUACUUGAUUAAGUAGAGGCCUAGUAAUUGGGUUCAACUUAAAACCUAAAUUAUUAGUAAUCUAGGUGGAUAUUUCUUGUGCUCCAUUUAUCACACAUGAUGUAUAUAAACAAGUGAGGUAGGUUGAAGGUCUUAAGGAUCUAAGCUCUUGCAUGAUAAUUUUGGGUAUAAUAUCCUUGAAGUUGUUAUUGGGUUUGCUAUAUAUAUAUAUAUAUAAGUAUAAAAAGCCCAAAAAAAAAAAAAAUAAUGAAUAAUUUUUUAUAAUAGUCCCUACUGAGUAAUGGAGCCUCUUCUCCUAAGGCAAGAGUUGAGGUUCGCAACAUAGGUAGGAGUCUUGAAGUUCAAGCAUACGUGUGUAAGCUUAUAAAUAGCUGGAAACUAGGGUAUGAGUCUAAGAGGAAUCUCCCAUCCAUGCAUUGUGAAGUCGUAGGGCUUGGAAGCCACUGAUUUUGCUACCCGCUACAUUGGUAAGAAGGCAUAGUAUAGUGCAUUGCCCUUUCCACAAAAUUAUGAAUGAUGGUUUGCAAGGUAAUAUAAACUUCAACCCAAAUCAUUAAACAUAAAUUUAGAAUGCUGAAAUUUUGAGCUAAAAGAUAGACUCACUUACCUUUUUUCUCUAAGCAAAUAAACAUGAAAGAUAAAUCUAUAAAGUUCACCUCGAAGGCUAACAAUGGUGGUUUUAGGAAAAACUUGGGACAAUAAGUUUUCUAUUUUAUUGAGUGAUUGAACUUAAGGUUGAUAAUGUGAUGUGGCUUGAACAAUCUCACCCAAAUAAGUUAAUAUUCACAAAAGGCUUGUCAAAUUAUUAUUUAGAAUAGGAGGUUUUAAGUGGUGAUGGUAUAAAUAUGCAUUUAGUUUUCAAGGUAAACUAGACUUCAACCUAAAUCAUUAAAACUUGAAUUUAGAAUCUGGAACUUUUGAAUGAAAAGGCAGAGACACUUACCUCUUUUGUCUAAGCAAAUUAAUGUGAAAGGGAAAUCUAUAAAGUUCACUUUGAAGGUUAAUAAUGGUGCUUUUGGGAAAAACUUGGGACAAUAGGUUUUUAAUUUUAUUGAGUGAUCGAACUUAAGGUUGAAGUGGUUUGAACAAUCUCACCAGAAUAAGUUAAUAUGCACAAGAGACAUGAGGAACAUACGUGGGGCUCACCUUUUUUAGACCUUUCCAAGCAACCAUUGGAUACUCCACUUGAUAUUUGGAUGCAUCCACGUGUUAGACCAUCUAGGGCAUGAUUAGGGGAGCCUACCAAAGAGAUUUUCAGUGGUCUUUCUUUUUUCCUUCUUCGUUCUUCAUUUUGGCUUUACAAUAGAACUUUUGGAAGGGGAGAUUUUGGAAGCGGCAGGAGUUCAGGUUUCCUCAUAUUUUUCCAAUCUUGUUUUGAUUAUUUUAGUAGCCUUGCAAUCAUCCAAUUUUUUUUUUUAGUUGUAAUUGAAUACUUUCAUUUUCAUUGGAUCAAUGCAUUAUUAGAUUUGAGUUUUGGAUUUUAAUGUUUGUUUUCUUAUGAUUUGUUUUUACUCCUAAGUUUAGUCUUGUUUCAUGUCUUUCAAAUAGUCAAAUUAAUAGGUUGAUCGAGGAAAGAGGCCCUAAGGAACUCGCUUUCAUCUAUGGAAUGGUCCUUUUAUUAUGGGUAUUUAUUGAUUUAAUCAGUUUGCAAUUUAGAUUUCUUCAAUUUUUACGAAAUUGUCAUGUCUUGAUAUUCGGAAAUUGACGUUUAGACCCCCUUUGAAGGUAUUACAAGUGCUUAGCAGGCAGAACCAUUUUUUACAUGAAAUGAUCAUUAUUGAGUCCUAAAUACUACAAUUUGACAAACAAAUGUGUAGUAGGACCUUUAAGCAUGUACUUUAUGAGAAAAUCCAAUUAACAAGUUUAAGGCUUUUGGUUUAGUUCAAUUGUGCUUUUAUUGAAAAUAUUUCAACCAAGAGAACCAAUAGGUAUUCUUAAUUGAGUUACUUUAUUUGAGGAUCAUUUCAAGGUGAGAAGGGAACCCAAAAGACCUCCCUCUAAAAGACGAAUUCUUCCUAAAAAAUAAAAUCAUUCCUCAAAAUUUUUCCAUGAUUAUGUACAAGAAGCACCUCAAAGCACAAGAAAAAAUUCAAUUCCAGAUGGUCACAAAGAUUUGAGACUUUAAAAAAAUUUGCAAAAUGACCUACAUGGUGUUCCUCUAAAAUGAAUUGGCCAUAAACAUGCUAAAGAACAACAAUAUCGGAACAAUGUAAUAACAUUAAGUUAUGGGCAUUCACCCAUUUGUUUUGUUCCUUGGAUUUGUUUUAUUCCUUAGAUUUUAUCAGAAUAAUUACUAAUUAAUAUUCAAAACAAAUCUAGGUCCAUACACUAGUGGAGAGGGAAAUAGAGAAAAUGAUAUGGAUAAGACAUAUCUUAUUCAAAAUAUAUUAGACAACAUACUAUGGGUAAAUGUAUGUGAUGUUUAUGUAGUGAGUAUUAUUUAUUUAUUUAUUUAUAUAUUUUAACUUCUCAAAUUUCCAACUAAAAAUAGAACUUUUUCAAAAAUAAUGAAACUAUAUAUAAAAAAAAUCAAAUCCAAUAAAUAAAACGUCUAAACUUAAAUAUUUCCCAAAAUUCAAAAAGUAAAAAAAUAUAUGUAUAUUUAUUCAGAAAUCUAUGAAACAACUUCUCAUAGAAAUAAGCAUGUUUGAAGGAUCAUGCAAUUACCUUGAAAUAGUGGUAACAGUUGACCUAAUAAGUUCUUGAUCUAAAUCAACUAUUUCUGCUCCAAGCUCAAGCUUCAUUUUGUCCUAUUGCUUGGUGUUAGUAAGAAUUAGUUCGUCCCAUCUCUAAUCAUAUUAUUCCUUUACACUUCUUAUCGCCUAGGUCAUAUUUGAACCACCAUUUCUAGGGAGCAACAUUCUUGCAUGUCUAACAAUUAUUCCCCAAAUAUGAUGCUCCUAUGACUCAAACUUUGGGCCUAGCUCUAUUACUACAUGUUGGAACCCAAGGAAUGACAUGAGAAGUGGAGUUCAAAACAACACAUUGAAUUAAAAAAAAAAAAAAAAAAGCAUGCAAAAGUGGUAGUUUUACAGCUGGCAUAAUGUAGGGCCACUUGCACUAAUUAUAUUUAUGUUUUAUUUUAUUUUUUAGAACUGGCUACAACAUGUGAGCUUCAAGAGGAAAAACUACAAAAGUGCUGGUCUUGAAGGAGAACUUGAUAAGAGACAUUUGAUAAAGUUAAGCCCCUAAUUUUUUGUUUAAGUAAGGAUUAAUUAUAUUUACUGUUCUCAAACAUUUGGUUACUUAUGCUAAUUAUGCCUACUUGUAUUGUCAUGCAAAAAUUCUCACAUUCUAUCGUUCAAAUUGAAUCUUCUCAAAAUAAAAAAAAAAUCAGCACAAAACUGUUGAAAUCGUAAAAAUACCACAUGUAAAAUUCCUUCGGCAAAGUUAAUUUUAUUCAAGUAAGUACAGUCAUGUGAUACCAAAAACAAAGCUAAGAUCAAUACAUCACUUCUGCCAUGUAUCGAUUAUCUUCCAAGUAACUUUGUCAUAGCUAAGAUAAAACCCAUCCUCUUUCACCAGGGAAUAGACUAUGCUAUGACCUCCAUCUCUCGUUGGCUCAAAUACACUAACACUGGCAGAUUGGCUUCCAAGGGUUGUGUAAAGGUAAUAUGUUGUCGGUGUGGCAACCAUCAAUUGGAAGCUCUCACCCACCCUGAGAGUGCGCUCAUCAAGGGGUCUAUGUUGUGACUUGAUGCGAAUGUCUAAUGGCUGUGAUACAUACGAUUCAGGUAAGCCAUUCAUGACUUCAAGAGUGGGUAGUGGAUCAUAACUCUUCCCAUAUGCUAUCAAGCACAUGAAGAUGAUCACUACAAGAACAAAAGAAAAGAGGCUAUGAUUUGCCAUUCCCUAAGAGCAAUAUUUUGAUGUGCUUCUCUUCUUAGUCUUCUUUAUAUAAGCAAAUGUAGUAAUUGAAGAAAAAAACAAAUUAUAAUUAAGGAGAAAAUCAAGCGACCAUCCACAUCGAUUUCCAAAAUAUGUGAAAAGUUUCAAAAAAUUAUUACAAGAUUUGUAGUUAUCAUUAAAUUUGGAGAAAAACAAAUUAACUAAAUGUGUUCAAACGUUUUAAAAUCACUACAAGAAGUUUCCUUCCCUUGUAUAUUAGGAGACAUUUUUAGAUUAUUCCUAAAUUGGAGAAUCCUAGUUAAGAUGUGGAGAACAUUCAUUUAUAGAAUAUUGUGGUUCUCAAAUUAUGAAAAUGGUAAUAAGAUAUUAAUGCUUAUCUUAUUAUCACAAUAUCCUAGACUUUUUUUUUUGUCCUUUUUAAGUUUAAAUUUUAAUAUUAUUUUACAAUAUGCUUUAUAAGUAUUUUUUUAAUUCUUUUUUAUCCACAAAUUUAAUUUUAUAAUAAAAAAAUUUAUUUUAAAACUAAGUAAUAUAAAAAAUAAAGAAUUAAUGAAAAAUUAAUAUAUGAUGUGGGAUAUGCAUAUCCUACAUCUCAAUCUAGGAUUAAUUUAUAUAUAUUGCUUACUUCUACUAAAGUUUUAAAUACUUUAGUUUGCAAUACCAUGAUAACUUUAGGUUUUUAAUUUUUGAAAUAAAUAUAAAUUCAUAAAUAUAAUACAAAUAAAGUUAUAAAUGUUGUAAAUGAAGAGUAGUGAAUGACCACAUUGAUGGCCAUUAUGAACUCCAUUUACUCAUCUUUAAGAUGAGUAAUGGGAGUUCAUAUUAUGAAGCCUAUAAAAGGCUUCUUACACCCCAUGUAAGAGCAUCCCGAGAAAAGAAAGAAAAAUUCUUCCUCUCAUCCUCUCUCUCUCUCUCUCUCUCUUUCUUUCACUUUCUCAAUUCUCUUCUUUGAUUCCUUCUUCCAUAUUAUAUAUCAAAGUAAGAUAUAUUUUAUCUCUACUACUUUGAUUUGCAUUAUAUUUGUCCUUGUUUUACAACACGUUAUCAGCACGAAUUGCUCUGAAGGUAAUUCUCGUAUCUUAAACUUGAAGUUAUUUAUAUAGAAUAAAAUUUUACAUAUUUAUAUUAUUGUUGAUUUAUUUUGUUACAUAUUGUUAAAAGUUAUAAACAAAUUAUUUGAUUUUGUUUAUAAUCAAAUUUAUACCAAUGUUAUCAAUUUAUUAUAAUUGAUUCUAAUAAUAUUGUUUUUUCAUAUAUAUGAAGUUAUUUGACAAUGUCGAAUAUCACAAAACUCGAAUUUGUGGCACUUGACAUUUUGGGAAAGAACUAUCUAUCUUGGAUCCUUGAUGCUAAAAUACAUCUUGAUGCAAUGAAUCUUGGAGCUAUGAUAAAAAAAAAUGAAAUCAAGCAUCCCUGCAAGAUCGCACAAAAACACUGAUUUUCCUUCAUCAUCAUCUCCAUGAAGGUUUUAAAAAAAGUUUUUGAUGAAAAAUCACCAGUCUCAUCCAACUAUAUUUGAAUCAUUCCCUGAAGUGAAUGCAAUAUCGUCCCAAACUCGUGGACGUGGAUGAGAACGUGGUUGUGGUCGUGGAAGAAAUCCCCGAUACCAUGGUUCUUAUAAUAAUAAUUCUUAGAAAAUGAAAGCCUCAUUGCACCACCAGAAGUGGAAUAAUAUGAAAUGGAACAAUAAUGAGGCAAAAUAAGAAAAUGGGAAGCGUUUACAAGAUAAACCUCCUAAGAACCAUGAGAAUAAUUGUUAUAGAUGUGGUAUGAAGGGGCAUUGGUCACGUACCUGUCGUACGCCCAAACAUUUGGUCGACCUUUACCAAGCAUCAAUAAAAGCUAAAGGAAAAGAUAUAGAGAUGAACUUUACCGAUGGUGAUGGAUUGGACCUAACCUACUAUGACAUUGAUUUCUUUGGAGGUUCCAAUGAAAAAACAGACCAUUUGAUAAAUGAUGAGAAAAUUAACAUUGAUUGAUGUUACUUUAUAUAUGAAAUAAUAUAUUAUUAUGUCUUAUAUUUACAUCUGAUUUACUUUGUUAUUUACAUUAUGCCUUGUUUUUUUUUGUUAUAUCUGAAAUCCAUGUGUUAUUUGGUCUUAAGAUGAAUGAGGAUGAUGUAUGUCUCACAGACUGUGCGACCACGCACACAAUUCUUCGAGAUAAAAGAUAUUUCCUCGAAUUGACAUUAAUAAAAGCUAUUGUAAGUACCAUAUCUGGUACUAUAAACUUAGUUGAAGGCUCUGGAAGAGCAAACAUAACAUUGCCAAAUGGAACUAGAUUCCAUAUAAAUGAUGCGUUAUAUUCUAGCAAAUCCAGAAGAAAUUUGCUUAGUUUUAAAGAUAUCCGCAGAAAUGGAUAUCAUAUUGAAACUAUGAAUGAAGAUAAUGUAGAAUAUCUUUACAUUACUUCCAUUAUAUCUGGCCAGAAGCUUAUAAUGGAAAAACUCCCGGCUUUCUCCUCUGGGUUGUAUCAUACAACUAUAAAGCCUAUUGAAUCAUAUGUUGUCGUGAACCAGAAGUUCAACGACCCAAAAGUUUUUGUCUUUUGGCAUGACAGGCUAGGUCACCCAGGGUCUUCAAUGAUGCGUCGAAUAAUCGAACACUCACAUGGGCAUCCACUAAAGAACCAGAAGAUUCUUUCACCCAAUGAAUACUCAUGUGCUGCCUGCUCACAAGGUAAGUUGAUAAUCAGACCAUCUUUUACUAAAGUCAUAUCUGAGUCACCAAUCUUUUUAGAAAGAAUACAUGGGGACAUAUGUGGGCCUAUCCAUCCACCAUGUGGACCUAUCCAUCCACCAUGUGGACCAUUCCGUUCUUUUAUGAUCUUAAUAGAUGCUUCUACUAGGUGGUCACAUGUUUAUCUCCUUUCUACACGUAACGUAGCCUUUGCUAGACUCCUUGCACAAAUAAUCAAAUUACGAGCACAAUUUCCAGAUUAUCCAAUUAAGACAAUACGUCUUGAUAAUGUUGGCGAAUUUACUUCUCAAACAUUCAUUGACUAUUGCAUGUCAGUAAGGAUAAAUAUUGAGCAUCCUGUUGCUCAUACUCAUACCCAAAAUGGUUUAGCAGAAUCCUUCAUCAAAUGUCUCCAAUUAAUAGCUCGACCAUUACUAAUGAAAACCAAAUUACCUACUUCCGCUUGGGGACAUGCUAUAAUGCAUGCUGCAACUUUAGUCUGUAUUCGACCUACAACUUACCAUGAAUACUCCCCUUCACAACUUGUGCUUGGCAAACAACCAAAUAUCUCUCACUUACAAAUCUUUGGUUGUGCAGUAUAUGUACCAAUUGCACCUACACAACGUACUAAAAUGGGUCCCCAACGAAGACUUGGGGUUUAUGUAGGUUUUGAUUCUCCAUCUAUCAUAAGAUAUCUUGAACCUUUGACAGGCGAUGUUUUUACAGGUCGUUUUACGGAUUGUCAUUUUAAUGAGAGUGUUUUCCCAUCAUUAGGGGGAGAAAAGUCGAUUCCUGAAGAACGACGAGAAAUUAGUUGGAAGGCAUCUAAUAUGACCCAUCUUGAUCCUCGUACAAAUCAAUGUGAACUAGAAGUUCAAAGGAUCAUUCAUUUGCAAAAUCUUGCAAAUCAAUUACCAGAUGCAUUCAUUGAUACAAAGAAAGUGACAAAGUCACAUAUCCCGGCUGCAAAUACUCCAGCACGGAUUGAUGUCCCUGUAGGACAUUUAACAAAUGAAUCUAAGAUAUGCCUGAAGCGUGGUAGACCUAUCGGCUCAAAGGAUGUAACUCCUCGGAAGAGGAGAACCCAAGAAAAACUUGACACUUUAGAAGAGACCAUCAAAAUGACUGAUCAGUUUAAAAUUGAUAAAUCUAUAGCCUUAGAAGAGGCACAAAUAAUGCAGAAAGCCCCUGAAGAGGCACAUAUUGAACAAGAAGCCCCUGAAGAGGCACAGGUACCUGAAAAUUGUGAGAUCUCAGUAAGUUAUGUACAAACGGGAGAAAAAUGGGAUCGAAAUAAUAUUGUUAUUAACAAUAUUUUUGCUUUCCAAGUGGCCUCUGAUAUCAUAAGAAAUGAUGAAGAUCCCGAACCAUGAAAUAUGGAAGAAUGUCGACAUAGAAAUGAUUGGCCAAAAUGGAAAGAAGCUAUACAGGCAUAAUUAAACUCAUUAACAAAAUGAGAAGUUUUUGGACCUGUAGUCCAAAUACCUGAAGAUGUAAAGCCUGUUGGGUACAAAUGGGUAUUUUUAUGAAAGCGCAAUGAGAAUAAUGAGAUCAUAAGAUAUAAAGCGCAAUUAGUAACACAAGGUUUCUCGUAGAGACCUGGUAUUGACUACGAGGAAACAUAUUCUCCCAUCAUGGACGCAAUCACAUUUCAUUUUUUAAUUAGUUUGGCAGUCUCAGAAGGACUGGAUAUGCGUCUCAUGGAUGUUAUUACAACAUAUUUAUAUGGAUCCAUGGAUAAUGAUAUAUACAUGAAAAUCCCCGAAAGAUUUAAAUUGCCUGAAGCAAAUAAUACAAAGCCUUGUAGCAUGUACUCAAUCAAGUUACAACGAUCCUUGUAUGGAUUAAAGCAAUCUGGACGCAUGUGGUACAAUCGCCUUAGCGAAUACUUGCUAAAAGAAGGGUAUGUGAAUAACCCUAUAUGCCCAUGCAUCUUCAUUAAGAAAUCAGAAACAGGAUUUGCAAUUAUUGCAGUGUAUGUUGAUGACUUAAAUCUUGUUGGAACUCCUGAAGAGCUCACAAGAACAACAAAUUACUUGAAAAAGGAAUUUGAGAUGAAAGAUCUUGGAAAAACAAAAUUUUGUCUCGGCCUGUAGAUCGAGCAUUUUCCAAAUGGAUUUUUAGUACAUCAAUCAACAUACAUUAAAAAAGUUUUGAAGCGUUUUUAUAUGGAUAAAGCGCAUCCUUUAAGUUCUCCAAUGGUUGUUCGAUCCCUUGAUGUGAAAAAGGACCCAUUUCAUCUUUGCGAAAAGGAUGAAGAGUUACUUGGACCUGAAGUACCAUAUCUUAGUGCUAUUGGUGCACUUAUGUAUCUUGCCAAUUAUAAACGUCCAGACAUUGCUUUUUCUGUCAAUUUAUUAGCAAGAUACAGUUCCACUCCAACUCGAAGACAUUGGAAUGGUAUCAAACAUAUAUUGCGUUAUCUUCGCGGAACUACUGAUAUGGGUUUAUUUUACUCAAGGGAAUCAAAGCAACAAUUGCUUGGAUAUGCAGAUGCAGGAUAUCUUUCAGAUCCACAUAAAGGUAGGUCACAAACAGGGUAUGUGUUUAAUUGCAAUGGUACUGCUAUUUCAUGGAGAUCUGUCAAACAAACAAUGGUGGCCACAUCAUCAAAUCAUUCAGAAAUACUGGCAAUUCAUGAAGCAAGUCGUGAAUGUAUAUGGCUAAGAUCUAUGAUCCAGCAUAUUCAGGAAUCAUGUGGACUCUCCUCUAUCAAAGGUGACUCGAUAAUAUUAUUUGAAGAUAAUGCUACAUGCAUUGCACAAAUAACAAGAGGUUAUAUUAAAGGAGAUAGAACUAAACACAUUUCACCAAAAUUCUUUUAUACACAUGAACUCUAGAAGAGUGGUGAAAUUGAUGUGCAACAAAUACGCUCAAGUGAUAAUCUAGCAGAUUUAUUCACAAAAUCAUUUCCAACCUCAACAUUCAAGAAGUUAAUACACAGGAUUGGAAUGCGUCAACUCAAGGAUAUCGACAUGAGGGGGAGUAUGCUUGUAAAAGGGUGUUAGUGUACUGUACUCUUUUUUCCUUCGUCCAGGUUUUGUCCUACUAGGUUUUACUGGCAAGGUUUUUAACAAGGCAGUCCUAAUAUACCAAGAAAAGAAUAUUGUACUUUUUUUCCUUCGCUAGGUUUUUCGGUUUUUUACUAGCAAGGUUUUAAUGAGGCAUAUUCUUUUAAUUUGGUGGUCAUCCAAGGGGGAGUGUUGUAAAUGAAGAGUAGUGAAUGACCACAUUGAUGGCCAUUAUGAACUCCAUUUACUCAUCUUUAAGAUGAGUAAUGGGAGUUCAUAUUAUGAAACCUAUAAAAGGCUUCUUACACCCCAUGUAAAGAAAAAUUCUUCCUCUCAUCCCCUCUCUCUCUCUUUCUUUCUUUCACUUUCUCAAUUCUCUUCUUUGAUUCCUUCUUCCAUAUUAUAUAUCAAAGUAAGAUAUAUUUUAUCUCUACUACUUUGAUUUGCAUUAUAUUUGUCCUUGUUUUACAACAAUAAAUAUAUUAUAUUUUUAGAUACAUUCCUGUUUUUUAAAAUUUAAAAUCAUAUUCACCUAUAUAAAAUUAGAAUAUCUUAUAUAAAAGUUAUUGAUUUACCUUAUAUGAUGCCUCUUCUUUGCAUUUAUUACGAUUCUUUCUACACGAGUAUCAUAAUUGGAAUAGUAUGAUUACUCCAAAGAAAUCAAUUUCCAUUUUUUCAAAAAGGAAUCAAAGAUUUUUCUUAUUCCUAUAUAAUUUUCAUGUAUGUGAAUACGACUCUAUCUUCAUUUUUAUCCGCAAUCAAUCUUAUCAUUUAAGAUCACCAUCUUAUGGAGCCCUUCUAAUCUUAUGGUUGUUCAAGAAUCCUUUCAUGCAUUAUGUUAGGUAUCAAGGAAAAUCCAUUUUGACUUCAAAAGGGGCGCCUCUUCUGAUGAAUAAAUGGAAAUAUUACCUUAUAAACAAUUUUUAAAACUAUUUGUCUUUUCAAUGUAAACCUCUAAAGAGUUUUAAUAUAAAAUUAUCUAUAUGAAACUACUUAUUAAACAAUUUCUAAGACUGUUAGCUUUUUCAAUAUAAACCUCUAAGAGUUUUUAUAUGGUAUAUAAAAAUUACAAUUGUCUCAUUUUCAAAAUAGAAAAAAAUUGUGAUGGGAACGGGCUGGUUCAUCUGGUUUGCCCGUUUGAUCACUGCUUAUUCACCGGACGAUGGCUGACUCAACGAAUAGGACCGAACCGGAAUCGUGACCAUCUAAUCCGGCUUUUAAAACCAUGGCAAGAAGGUUCAAAAUGUUAUAUUUGCAAAAAUGAAAGAUAAAAUAUAUAAUAAGGAAUUAAUAAUGACAAUCAAAUCCACUCAAGCUCUCUCCUUCAUCUAUCUAUUGUAUGAGAAUCAUCCAUAAAUAAGCUUUGAGAAAGCAUUUUCUCAUAAACAUAUUCUAACCUUUGCAUUGGGAAAGAGUUUUUUAUUCAUUGUGGUGCACAAAAUAGCUAAAAAAACCUAAUAUAUAUAUAAUCAUUCAGUUUCCCAUGGCUCCACUUUGUUCCAAGAAGCAUUGUCAUAGCUAAGAUAAAACCCAUCCUCUUUCACCAGCCAAAAGACAGUCGCAUGACCUGCAUCUCUACCUGGCUCAAACCCAUGGACAGAUGCAAACUUGUUGCCAAGAACUCCUCGGACGUAAUAUAUAGAAUCUGGGGUUACACUCCAUUUGAUGCUUUCGCCCAGCUUCACUACGCGCUCAUCAACAGCUUUAGUUUGUGACUUGAUGAGAAUGUCCAAUGGCACCGCUGCAUACUUUUCUGGUAAGCCAUUGGUCAAUUCAAUAUUGACGUUAGAACUCCGUACAUACUCAGCUGCGCAAAUGAAGUAAAUCACAAGAGCCAGAGAAAACAGGCUAUGAUUUGCCAUUCUGUCAAGGAGAGGAGAUAUGUUGAUGAACUUCUUCCUAGCCCUCUUUUUAUAGCCCAAAAUGAUAGGCUGUUGAUGAAGAUCCUAUUUGAUCUAGAUAUUAUAAUCAAGGAAACUAACAAGACAAUCGUUUGAAAAUAGUUGACCUAGAUUUACAACAUUAAGACAAAUUAUAAUCAAGAAAUUAGGAGAAAAUUGAGUGAAUCAAAUGAGUCUUAAUUUGCUUUAGGUUAUACUUCUUUCCUAUUUUAUAAUCUUCCUUCUAAGAAAAUUUUGAUAUGAAAUAUUAUAGGAAUGUUUGUACCAAUGAAAAAAAUAAUCCCUUCUUUGGCAAACAAAUUUAUAUGGGACAAAUCCUAACUAAAAGAUAUGACCAAGGAGAAUAAUUUGACAAAUUCACUCAUAUUUAUGAAUUGUGGAAGCUAAUUAAGAUAUUGAAAACACUUAAGGCUAUCUUUGGUUUCAGAAAGAUUUGUGGGAAAAAAAAUAGUGAAAAAAAGAUAUAGAAAAGCCUAAGGACAGAAAAUUAAAUUUUUUAGUAAUGCAACUUCCCUAACAUUUAAGUAAAAUGAGGAGAAAACUCUUUUAGGUUGUAUUUUGGUUCAUGGAAUGUUUAAUGUAAAGAAACUAAUAAAGAAAAACUAGAGGGAAAGCAUAAUUUUAUGUUCUUAUUUAGUUGAUUAUGGAAAAUUUAACAAGGGAAAAUUAAAUCAUUGAGGAAAGCCUUUUUUUUAAAAUAUUUUCGUAAGGACAGUGGAGAGAACAAUGGUUGUAUUUUAGUUUCUUUUCCAUUGGAGAGAAUGGCAAACCAAUGUUAAAGAUAUGUCUAUUAUGUAAAUAUCUUAAUUAGUUAUCAUGAGAUGUCUAGCCCAAAAUGUUGAUGAACUUCUUCCUAAUCCUCUUUUUAUAGCCCAAAAUGAUAGGUUGUUGAUGAAGACUAUUUGAUCUAGAUUUCAUAAUUAAGGAAAAUAACAAGACAAUCUUCAACAUUGGUUUGAAAAUAGUUGACCAAGAUUUAAAAUAUGAAGACAAGUUAUAAUAAAGAAAUUAGGAGAAAAUCGAGUGAAUUAAAUGAGUCUUAAUUUGCAUUAGAUUAUACUUCUUUCCUAUUUUAUAAUCUUCCUUAUAAGAAAGUUUUUAUACGAAAUAUUAUUGGAAUGUUUGUACCCAAUGAAAAAAAUAAUGCCUUCUUUGGCAAUAUAUAUAUAUAUAUCUUUAUUUUCCUUUUUUUUUUUUUGAAAUUUUAAAUAUAACUUCAACUGGUAGUAAAAUAUAAGCAUAUAUUUUGUCCAUUCCAAAAGUUGGGUUUGUCUUUGCAAUUUAGGAAUUAUUAUUUUUCCUUUAGACCAAACAUGACAAUACCUUAUACCAAAUAUUAUAGGAAUUAUUUCCUUAGUUCAUCAACAUUUCUCUUCUCCUUCACAGAAUGGCAAACCAAUGUUAAAGAUAUGUCUAUUAUGUAAAUAUCUUAAUUAGUUAUAAUGAGAUGUCUAGAAAUUUCAACAUUUAUAUAUUAAAGGUUUUAUACUUUCAAAGGAAAUAAUAUUAUGAAUAUUUGGUAAUAUAAUAUUCUAUACUUGGCCUUUAAGAAAAUACUCAAGACAGAAAGAAAAUGUUAAAAAAAAACAGGUAGUUUUCUAUUUAAAUAACAUUUUAAAAAAAAGGUAAAAAAGAAAAAAUUAAGAAACUAAACCAUUGUUCCCUCCACUGUAUUUAAGAAAAUAUUAAAAAAAAAAAAGGCUUUCCUCAAUGAUUUAAUUUUCCCUCGUUAAAUUUUCCUUAAUAAACUAAAUAAGAACAUAAAAUUAUGCUUUCCCUCUAGUUUUUCUUUAUUAGCUUCUUUACAUUAAACAUUCCAUGAACCAAAAUACAACCUAAAAGAGUUUUCUCCUCAUUUUACUUAAAUGUUAGGGAAGUUGCAUUACUAAAAAAUUUAAUUUUCUUUCCUUUAGCUUUUCCAUAUCUUUUUUUCACUAUUUUUUCCACAAAUCUUUCUAAAACUAAAGACAGUCUCAAGUGUUUUCAAUAUCUUAAUUAGCUUCCACAAUUCAUAAAUAUGAGUGAAUUUGUCAAAUUAUUCUCCUUGGUCAUAUCUUUUAAUUAGGAUUUGUCCCAUAUAAAUUUGUUUGCCAAAGAAGGCAUUAUUUUUUUCAUUGGUACAAACAUUCCUAUAAUAUUUCAUAUCAAAAUUUUCUUAGAAUGAAGAUUGUCAAAUAGGAAAGAAGUAUAACCUAAUGCAAAUUAAGACUCAUUUAAUUCACUCAAUUUUCUCCUAAUUUCUUGAUUAUAAUUUGUCUUAAUGUUGUAAAUCUAGGUCAACUAUUUUCAAACGAUUGUCUUGUUAGUUUCCUUGCUUAUAAUAUCUAGAUCAAAUUGGAUCUUCAUCAACAGCCUCUCAUUUUGGGCUAUAAAAAGAGGGCUUGGAAUGGCAAAUCAUAGCCUGUUUUCUCUGGCUCUUCUGAUUUACUUCAUUUGCGCAGCAGAGUAUGUACGGAGUUCUAACGUCAAUAUUGAAUUGACCAAUGGCUUACCAGCAAAGCAUGCAGCGGUGCCAUUGCACAUUCUCAUCAAGUCACAAACUAAAGCUGUUGAUGAGCGCGUAGUGAAGCUGGGCGAAAGCUUCAAAUGGAGUGUAACCCCAGAUUCUAUAUAUUACGUCCGCGCAAUUCUUGGCCAUAAGUUUGCAUCUGUCCAUGGGUUUGACCCAAGUAGAGACGCAGGUCAUGCGACUGUCUUUUGGCUGGUGAAAGAGGAUGGGUUUUAUCUUAGCUAUGACAAUGCUUCUUGGAACAAAGUGGCGCCAUGGGUAUCUGAAUGAUUGUACUUUUUUAGCUAUUUUGUGCACCACGAUGAAUAAAAAACUAUGUGCCAGCUAUUUUGUGCACCACGAUGAAUAAAAAACUAUUUGCCAAUGCAAAGUUUAGAAUAUGUUUAUGAGAAAAUCAUUUCUCAAAGCUUAUUUAAUGAUGAUUCUCAUAGUGAAAAUGAUACUAAUGUCUUGUUAUCAUUACAUUUCAGGUUUUAUUUUUAAUUUAAACAAUAUUUUCAAAUAUUCUAUGUCAAAGAAAAUUUUCAAAAGUUCUAACUUUUAUGUAAAAAUAAUCUUACUUUUGCAUUCCUUUUUUUUAGAUUUUAUGAAAAAUCAACCUUAUUCAAACUUCAAUUGAAAAAAAAAAGAAAAAGAAAAAGAAAAUAGUAGCCCAAGGUGUGUCCCCACUUUGUGACCAGGCUCUUCUUUUUGUUUGGAGAACAAAAUGAGAAAUAAAAUUUUUAAGUGACUAUAGGAAGAGAAAAUUAAAUUUACAAACUAAGGAUAGGAGUGUGGGUUGAAUCUACUAAGUAAAUUAAAGAAACUUUGAUAUUUCAUUAAUUAAUUUAUGAAUAAAAUAUAUGAAAGUAAAUUGAAGAACUUUGAUAUUUCAUUGAUUAAUUAUAUGAAAUAAUAUACAUGACAAACAUCAACAGGCCAUGAUGAUUUACAUUGAACAAAAAGAAAAAGGGGUACAUAUGGCUUACACAAUUUGACUUGCAUUUAUAAUGAGAUCAAAAUAACAACUUCUAUUUUGAAGAGUUUUCAACAGAAGCCCAACCAAAGCAGCUCUAUAAAUCUAGUUUCAAUUAGGGGGUGCAAUUUGGGUAGGAUGAUUGAUCUAACCCGAAUCCAACUUGAAAUUUGAGCAGGUUUGGGCAAUUAUUUUCAAUACUUGAGUUGAGCUUAAGUUAGGUUUUUUCAAAACUCAAUUUGGGUUGGUUAAGAUUCAAACAACCCAAGCCUAACCCAAACCGGAUUUAAUGUUUUUAUAAUAUUUAUAAUACAACUUAUCUCAUAUAAUAAUAUUCAUUUUUUUUCUAUUUUUAAGAAAAAAAUAUCAAAUUAUAUUAUAUUAUAUGUUUUCAUUAUUUUUUAAAAAUAUAUAAAUUUAUGUUUAUUCUUUUGUUGUCAUCUUGAAAUUUUUUCCUAUUUGUUAUUUAAAUUUUCAUAAAAUAUAAUAUCGUAAAUAAAUUUUGAAUUAUGCAACUUGAUCAACCCCGAUCAAACCGAGUCUAACUUGGACAACCUGUACUCAAUCCGAGUUUAGAAAAAUGAGAUUGGAUUGGGUUUGGGUUGAAUACCUUGGGUUAGAGUUUGGAUUAGGUUAAGUUUGGGUUGAUCAUUUCUUAAUUCAGGUUGGGCUCAGGUUAGUAAUCAACCCAACCAACCCAUCCAAGUUGCAACCCUAGUCUCAACUACCCAAAAAUAAGGGGUCGUGUUGGAAAUCUUGGCAUAGAAAAUAGUCAUUUUCCAUUGGAAUCAGAAAUUUUGAUUCAAAUACUGAUUUCAUUAACAGUUAUGAUUUUGCAUAACCACUAGUAGAAGGCAAUAUGUCGAAAUAAAAAAAAUUUAAUCUUAGUGACAUAGGAUUUGGAAUUUUCGAUUUGGCAUAACUGAUUUAUGUAUUGAUAUCAGUUUUCAACUCAAAACCUUUCUGCCCUACAACUAUAUUAAGUCAAAUAAAUUUGCAUUAAAACUUGAAAAUUAGGUUUAAGACUAAUAUUUGAUAGUAUAGAGGUCGAGAACACCUAGAGGGGGUGAAUAGGUGCUUAAACUUUUUUAGUCCAAAAUUAAAUAUCUUUAAUUAUUUAACAAUCUCCUUUUAAUAUAGGGAAGUGCAAAGAGAAAUUAACACCAAACACAUGGGAAUUUUUUUAUGUAGAAACCUACUCACUCACACAAUCUCUCAAGAGACUUUGUGGAUGGUAAAACCAUGGGGUCACAUACCAUAAAUCCACUAUAUGAAAGACUAACAUACAAAUUUACUUGGUGGAUGUUAUCCUUAAGUCUUACUCACAACACCUAUACCAAACGUUACAUCCGUGACAAAGCCUCACACAUGUUCCUAGUGGAUCUUAUCUCAACGCUUGAAUGAAUGUAAAUCUCCUACAUAAUCUAAUGAAUGCAAAGAUAAAUGUUUUUUAGAGUUUCGGGAAUGUGAAGGCAAGCUAGGUUUUUUCCAAUGCAUGUUUGUACCCAAGAGAAAAAUCUCUUUUUAAAAUGCAAAAAAUACAGUGGACAAGAUCUAGAAUUUUCCUAAAAUAAAACCUUUUAAAAUUAGAAAAUCAAUAUUCCAAAAUUCUACAGAAUUCUACCAUUAGCACGUAAGUGCCCUUAGAAUGCUUGAGUGCUCUCUAGUGCAUGAGCACUCAAAAAGUUCUUUUAAACCUAUUUUAAAAUAUUUUAGUUUCAUUUAAAAACCACCAUCCACACCAUGUCUUAACUAACUCCAACUUGUCUUUCCUAGAUCUUUCUAUGCUUGCCUAUGUUAUCCUGAUUGAUUAUGUAGUAAUCUUGAGUCUUCAAUGCAGAGUAAGACAUAAUUUAGAAAGGUCAUAUGCCAGAUUGUCUAGAGUAAAACCACCAACUUUAAAAUACAUAGCCUAAUGUAUCAACAAUGUCCCCCUUAUGCAAUUUUGUGAAAAAAUAAAGAUCAUAUAAACCUCUUAAUACUCUCAAAUGGAGUUUAUGAAUCUCUUAAUAACACUCAUCUAGACCAAAUCAUUCUCAAACAAGCAUAUGACGUUCAAAACUCAUCCAAGCAUGAACAAUCUAAAGAUACCUAUGACUUGCACACACCAACCGACCAAAUACCAAGGUAAACCAAUGUUUGAGAAAAAUAAUAAAACUAUAACCAAUAUCAAAUCAUAGUAAAAGUAAAUGGAUGUAGUCAUGCACACAAUCAAUAUCUAUCAUUCACUUAUCAAUAAUCAACCAAUCUCCCUUUUUUGUCAUAAAAAUGAAAAAGAGAAAUAAGAUAAAUUUAGUAUACGUAAGUAAGAGAGAGAGAGAGAGAGAGAGAGAGAGAGAGAAGGUAAGCAAAGUGAUAUUCAUUUAUAUACAAAGGGUCUAGAUAUAAGACAAAGAAUUGUGAAUAAGUACAAACUAAAACAAGAACACAAAAUAAAUUGAGGCAAACUAGCUACAAUUAAAAUAUAAAAUAUAAAAAAUAAAAAAUAAAAACUUCAUCUAAAACCAUGUAAGGGCUACUAUAGCUCAAGAUCAUGUGAAGGUGAUGUUGCAAAACUGGAACCGCCCUGAGAUCACAACAAAGAAGUGAGGAGGUGAACUAUGCUAGGAACCUCGGAUUACUUCGUUUCCUGGCCCUAACUCUCACAGGAUGCAUGCUUCUAUCCUAAGGUUCUCUAAAUCUACAAUAGUAGCAAACUAUGGCUAUCAAAACCAAAAUAGAUAUUAGAUCUAGAGGUUAGAGCUCUUACCUACAAUAUGGAUGUUCCCAAAUCGUUUUCAAGUCGAUGAAGAAGUCAAAAAAACAUCAUAGAACUCAUCUACCCAAUGUUCUUCCACCCAAUAUUUCCUCACAUUGGUUUAAGCAUGAGAUAAGUUUGUGUUUUUAUCUUCUUCCUUAAGAGUGGUUAGGGUUUCUCUCUAGUGGCUCUCUAGAAGACAAAAAAAGGGCAAAAAUCUAAACCCAAAACCCCUAUAGGGGUUUAUAUAAGGCUCCUUAUGGACUUAAGUGACUUAAGCCUAAAUUGGGUUAGGGUUAUCUAAUCUAGCUCACUUGGGUCCUAAUUAAUUAAUUAGUCAUAUUGGGUUCCAAUUAAUUAAUUAGCUUAAUCUAGAAAGUUCAAUUCAUAAAAUUUAAUAUAACCUUGCAUUUUUAUCAAAACAUUCUUAUGUACACUUAUAAACCAGAAACCUAAAUCCCUUAAAUAAAAUGUGCCUUCAUGACUUAUGAACUCAAGCGGGGACUACUAGGAUCCAUAGGAAAACACUAGCUCCCUCAAAAUUCAAUUCUAAAGUUGGCUCAACACUUCACUAAAGAGACUCAACUACACUCCAAUAUCUUAUGAAUUUACAACGAGCUAAAGCUCGAGUUUGUAACCUACCAUUCAUUGUAUGUAGACUUGCCAUGAACUAGUGAUCAUAAUCUAAUACGAUAGUAGUAUCAACAAUCAAGAUUACAUUUUCAAUUUUGAGUUACAAAUCCCCUUAUUAUGUGAUCAACAGACAUACUCUAACUCAUUAAAUAGUAUAUGUAAAAUUCUACUUAGGGAAUUACUACAGCCAUAGAUUUCAUGAUCACAUGUCUUUUGAAUCACCCAAGGGGACACUUUGUCUCAAUCUCAUAAGAUAUCAUGGUGUCUCUAUAGAGAAUACCUAUUGUCACUAGCUUUAAUCAACAAUGACCUAAUUUGUAAGAAUAUAUGAGCGCAUUAGGGUUUCACCCAUAUGUCAAAGUCUCCUAUUGAUUCCAGCACAUGCUCAAUAUCAUUGUAAGGUUGGGAGUUCAUGCAAUAUACUAACUUGGUGAAUCAUGACAACUCAGUAGGUCCUAUCCAAUGUGUAACCAUACACACUAGUGUACUUAUCAUGGAAAACUCAUCCCAGCAACUAUGACAAGUCAUCUCUCCAAUAAGAAGGUAGUGCACUACAACCUUUAUUGUGUUACCCAAAUUCAUAAACUGACAAUGGACUACUUAUCAUCUUACUAGGAACCCAUAACUUGUAUUUUCUCAUGGAAAACUCAUCCCAGCAACUAUGACAAGUCAUCCCUCCAAUAAGAAGGUAGUGCACUACAAUCUUUAUUAUGUUACCCAAAUUCAUAAACUGACAAUGGACUACUUAUCAUCUUACUAGGAACCCAUAACUUGUAUUUUCUCUACAACUCCUAAUGUAUCCAAAUCAUGUACAAUGCAAGUGAUUUGGGAUCAAAUACUUAAAUCAAUAUCAAUGCAAAUGAUGGAUAGAAAAGUAGAAGUUCAUGCCUAACUUUGUUACAUCAUGUCUUGCUUUUAAAGGCUUUAUCCUAAAAAACCCUCACUAGCCAUAAAAGUAAACUAAGCACCAUAGAAAAAAUAUGUUCCUUUGUCAUAUCACCUCUUUGAACUAUCUUGCAAAAAAGGUAACACUUCCUCUCUAUGUGUUUUCUCUUCUAAUGGUACCUUGGUUCUUUAGAUUAUGUCAAUGCCUCAUUGUUAUCACAAAACAAGAUCAUGGACGGUACAACCAAGAGAACUACCCAUAGUUCCAAAAGGAACAUUGUAAGUCAAAAGACUUUCUUUGUUGUUUUAGAAGCAACAACAAAUAUCAUUUAGAGGCAAACCUAUGAGUGUCCUCAUCAAACUAAAAGUCUAAUUUCUUAACACUUAAGGAAUACUAAUUCAUUGCAAUGACUCACAAGCAUGUAUUCUCUUGCUCUCAUAUGAUACUUAAGUAUAUGUUUAAUAUCCAUUAAAGACCCUAAUCAUGGAUUGAGCUAAUAUCUACUCAUUAGCCCCAUUUCAAAGCAAAUAUCCGAUCUAAGACAUAGCAUCACAUAUAUAAGGCUACCCUUUGUAGAGGCAUAGGAUACGACCUUAAUGCGACUUUUCUUGUCAAAUGUCCAAGGAAACUAAACUUAAGAAAUAAAAAUCCAAACUUAAGGGUAGCAAACCCUUCUUAAAGUCUUGCAUCAUGCACUUGACCAAAUGCUUGUUAGUGUUGAUGAUAUAACACACUUUUCAUAUUCAUGUAGUCCCUAAAGUACUUUAAUUCCAAGAAUAUAUUGCACCCCUUCUAUAUUUUCAUUUAUUACUAGUUAGACAACUAGAUCUUGAUUAAUGACAAUGUCCAGACAAAAUUUUCAUUGAGUAGAUUGUCAUCUACCUAAAGGAUCUUAGAGCUAUUAGGAUAGAGCUCUUAAAAGAAUAACAUGAUGUAAUACAUUGGAACUCAUUACUUAUUUAAUGAUAUUUGUGUUUCACUUUUAUUUAUCUUUAUUUCAUGCAUUGUACUUUAUGAGAUUCUCGCCUAAUAUCUCUUACAUUCUACAUGACUUAGGUGUAUUAGAAGUUACACGAAUGAUGCAUCCAUGCAUUGUACUUUAUGAGCAUUCUCCUCUAGCAUAUCUUAUAUUGUACAUGACUUAGGUGCAUUAGUAGCUGCACGAAAUAUCCAAUUCAUGGGUUCCUUGCAAGUAGAUGACUUAUUCAUAGUCGAUUCAUGGACUUAGGUCAUGCAUUAGAGGUUGUAACACACUACCUCCUAAUUAGAAAAAUGACUAUUUUUAGCCAUCAAGAUGAGAUUCCCAUGAUGAGUGCACUAGUGUGUAUGGUUACACAUUAGACAUGACCUGUGAUGAGUCAUGACGUAAUGUUAUCAAGUAGUCAUGACUUCACCAAGUUAUUAUGUUGUAUUAUCUCUCAAUCUUGAGAGAAUAUUAAGUUUAUACUAAAAUUAGCAGGGGUUUUGACCUACAAGUGAGAUCCUAAAGUGAUCAUAUAUUCCUUAUAUGUUUGGUCACUAUUAGUAGAAGUUGGUGAUGAUAGGUAUUCUUAAUAAAGGCACCAUGACAUCUCUUAGGAUUAAGAUAGAGUGUUCUCUUGGGUAAUCCUAAGAAGGCUUGUUCAGGUAAACUAUGGUCAUAGUAGUUCCUCAAGUGAAACUUAACAUUAGUUCUGGUGAAUUAAGAUAUGUCAAUUAACUACACUAUAGGAGGAUUUAGAAAUCAAGGAUGAUAGAGGUAAUUGUGAGAGGAUGAUAACUUUCACUUUAUUAUAUUACAAACACUAAUUCAUGGGGAGUCUAUAUACAAUGGAUAGCAAGUCACAGGUUUGACCACUUAAUGUCUCAUUGUAAUAUACAUAUAUAAGGGUAUUGGAGUGAGUUGACUCUCUGUUGUGAAAUGUUGGGUCAACUUCAAAUUUGGAUUAUGAAGGAGUCAGUACUAUCCAAUGGAUCCUAAUGGUCUCCAUUUAAUCUCAUAUACCUUGCUGGCAUGUUUUAUGAGGAUUCAAUCGACUAUAAGUUUAUGCAUAAGGUCAUUUUGGUAAUUAUAUAUAUGAUUACACAAGAAUUAGUAGACAACAUCUAUGGAUUAGGUUAAUUGAUUAAUUGGUGUCCUAUUACAUUAAUUAAUUAAUUAUGACUCUUUUUAGACUAGAUUAAGUGACCCAAGCCCAAGAUGGACUUAAAUCAUUUAAGCCCACUAGAAACCCUAUGAAUACCCCUUAUGGGAUUAGGGUACAUACUCUCUUUCACGUUUUAAAGAAAGUUCUAACCUCUACCUUCAAAGAUUUUCACCAUCUCUAUGCUUAAGCUAAAGAAUGAAUCAUCGAGUGGAAGAUCUUAAUUAGGUCUUCAAGGUCAUCAACACUUGAAAUUUAAGAUCUAGGAACAUUCAAACCUAAAGGUUGAAUUUUUAAUCCUAAAAAUCAAUUUUUUUUAAAAUAAAUUGAUAUUAUUUCUAUUGCAUAGAUCUAAGAUGCCAACAAUUUGUAUUAAAGUGUAUCUUAUAAGCAUGCUCAGAUCUUUAUUUAGGGUGUGCUAACAUUUUUUUUGCAAUCUUGAUAUUAUCCCAUGGCCAAAGGACGCAUGCAUGCUUUUUUUUAUAAUUAUUGUAUGUGAUGAUUGAAUGGGAUAAUUAUUUGUGAUGUAAAGUUAAAUUUUUUAUCAUCUACGAAGGGCUAUAAGAAAAUAAUUUCUCAUUGAUUUCAACAAAGAUUAAUCUUUUAUGGGAACAUCAUUUAUGAAGAAUCAAGGCGAUCAAUGUUUGCAGAAAAGAAAAUCAAUUUUUUUUCUUUGAAUGACUAGAAAAAAAAUGAUGAAAAGAACCACAAACUACUAUGUCCUUAAUCCAUGUUUGUGGUUGUACCAAGGUGCAUCUUGGGGCUAAUUAUUGGUGCCAUAGUGGGUUGCUACUACCACAUAAAUUUGAGUCUCUUUGAAUUGAUUUUGUGGCAAAAAUUUGAUGCACUCAUGAACUAAACAUGGAUGAAUCUAAGUGUUGAACUUUAUUAUAGAAAGUUGUUAUUUUUCUAUAGUUAAAGUUACUAAUUUUCCAUUGAGAAAGUUCCUAUUUUUUUAUGUGGACAAUGGGCAAUUGCAUGGGUUGGUUUUGAUGCCAUUCAUUACCGCCAUACAAGUUGGAUGUAGAUGCAAUUAUGAACUACAAUUUGAGGUUGGUCUUAAGUGCAUUUUAAGGUGGAAAUUGGCAACAUCAUGAGUGUCAUCAUGAACAACUUUGUGCUACCACUACCAACAUGAAAUUGAAAGUUUUCUCUCUCUCUCUCUCUCUCUCUCUUAGAUCCAUGGUAGCAUAGUAACUCUGGCUUUUAACUCAAAAUUUGGGUUACCACCUAUAAGUUUCUUAGGGUAAGCCACAAAUGGUUUUGAAAGUUUAAGAAGUUAGGAAUUCAACAUUUCCAACAGUACUCAAACUGAAAUGGAAAUUAAGAAGGAAAAUAUGACUCAUUGAAGCAAUGUGCAAAAGGCAUGCUAUUUUGGGAUUGAGUUCAAGUCAACUUCUUUUUGGUUGUUUAGGUGCAAUUUUGGGCCUCUUAAGGGUGUCAUCAUGAACAACUUUGUGCUGCCACUACCAACAUGAAAUUGAAAGUUCUCUCUCUCUCUCUCUCUCUCUCUUUCUCUCUCUCUCUCUCUCUCUCUCUCUCUCUCUCUCUCUCUCUCUCUCUCUCUGAUCCAUGGCAGCAUAGUAACUCUGGCUUUUAACUCAAAAUUUAGGUUACCACCUAUAAGUUUCUUAGGGCAAGCCACAAAUGGUUUUGAAAGUUUAAGAAGUUAGGAAUUCAACAUUUCCAACAGUACUCAAACUGAAAUGGAAAUUAAGAAGGGAAAUAUGACUCAUUGAAGCAAUAUUCAAAAGGCAUGCUAUUUUGGGAUUGAGUUCAAGUCAACUUCUUUUUGGUUGUUUAGGCUCAAUUUUGGGCCUUUUAUGGGUGUCAUCAUGAACAACUUUAUGCUGCCACUACCAACAUGAAAUUGAAAGUUCUCUCUCUCUCAGAUCCAUGGUAGCAUAGUAACUCUGGCUUUUAACUCAAAAUUUAGGUUACCACCGAAGUUUCUUAGGGCAAGCCACAAAUGGUUUUGAAAGUUUAAGAAGUUAGGAAUGCAACAUUUCCAACAGUACUCAAGCUAAAAUGAAAAUUAAGAAGGGAAAUAUGACUCAUUGAAGCAAUGUGCAAAAGGCAUGCUAUUUUGGGAUUGAGUUCAAGUCAACUUCUUUUUGGUUGUUUAGGCUCAAUUUUAGGCCUCUUAUUGGGCUCAAUCUUUGUUAGUAGUCUUGGAGGUGAUUUUUGGCAAGUUUUGGUUAUUUGAUUCUAAGAUGAAUCUACCAAAAUUAUUUACUACAUGACCCCUUAACCAUUGGAACUUUUUUUAUUUAUUUCUAUAUAUGUUUUUUAUUUCCUUAUGUAUGUUUGAUUGGAUGUGAAUGUAUGCAAAUAUGGAUGAAUAUAAAUAAUAUGAAACUUUUAGUAAUUUAAUGGAUUUAAAUUUUCUUGCAAGAUGAUAAGUAGUUCAGAGUUGGUUCAUGAAUUUAGGCAAUCAAGUAAAGGUUGUAGUGCACCACCUCCAAAUUAGAAGGAUAACUUGUCUUGGUCAUCGGAAUAGGUUUCCCACGGUGAGUACACUAGUUUAUAUGAUUACACAUUAAAUAUGACCUAUGAUAAAUCAUAACAUAAGGUAUCGAAUUGUCAUGAUUCACCAAGCUAUAUAUUGCAUAGACUUUAAACCUUGAGAUAAUAUUUAGCUUAUGCUGAAAUUAACAGGAAGAUUCGACUUAUAAAUGAAACCCUAAUAUAGUCAUAUAUCUCUACAAAUCGGGUCACUAUUAAUGGAGGUUGAUGGCAACAAGUAUUCUUAAUAAAAGCAACAUAAUUUCUCAUGAGAUUAAGACAGAGUGUUCCUUUGGAUGAUUCAAAAGACAUGUGAUCAUGAAAUCUAUGGUUACAAUAAUUCCUUAAUUGGAAUUUGAAAUAUACUUUUUAUGAGCUAGAGUAUGAGAAUUGAUCACAUAAUAUGAGGAUACAUAACUCAAAGAUUGGAAAGGUAAGGAUUGAUAACACUAUCCUAUUAGAUUAUGGACACCAAUUCACAAAGAGUCCGCAUAUAAUGAAUAAUAGGUCACAAACCUAAGCUUUAACUUCUUGUAAUUUCAUAGGAUACUAGAGUACAAUUGACUCUCUUUAGUGAAGUGUUGAGUUAACUUUAGAAUUAGAUUCUAAUAGAGCCAAUAUUUUCCUAUAGGUCCCAGUGGUCUCUACUCAACAAGCUCCUAGUUCAAGGUGGCAUUCUUUAUUUUAGGGAUUUGGGUUUGUAGUUUAUAAGUGUACAUAAGGGUGUUUUGGUAAAAAAAAAACAAGGUUGUACUAGAUCUUGUGAAUAGUUUUUUCUAGAUUGGUUUAAACUAAUUAAUUAAUUAGAUCCAAUUAAGGAUAAUUAAUUAAUUAGGACCUAAGUGAGAUACAUUAGGUGACCAAAGUCCAAUUUGGGCUCAAGUCACUUAAGUUCAUACGGAGCCUUGUAUAAACCCCCUUAAAGGUUUAGGAUUUUUUUUUUUUUUUUUUUAUCUUCUUCUAAAAAGCCUUUAAAGAAAAACCCUAGCAACCCUCAUGGGAGAAAGGGAAGUCCACCUUUCUCUUAUGCCUAGAUCCAUGAAGGGAGAGAUUGGGUGGAACAUUGUUGGGUAGACAAGGUCUAUGGCAACUAUUACGGUUUUCAACAUCUUCAUUGGGUGGGAUUUGAUAUGGGAACAUCCUAAUCGCAAGUAUGAAACUUUAAUCUCUAAAUCUAAAUCAUAAUAUGGUUUUUUAAACAACAUGUUUCCACUAUGAUAAAUCUAGAAAAUACUAAGAUAGAAUGCAUGCACCUUACAUAAUUUGAGGCCAAGGCAUGGAGUAUUUCGGGUUUCACAAUGGUCUAGUUCAGGAGAUUCUUCCAAUACCUAAAAGUAAUGACUCUAACCAAAGAGUCUAUCACUAUUCUUAUUGAUAGCAUGGUUGUUUUAGCAUAUAGUAAGGAUCCUAAAUAUCAUGGUAGAACCAAAUACAUAGAUAUUUGUUUUCACUAUAUUCGAGACAUUGUUACAUAGAGAGAGGUAGUCUUGAAACAUAUAUAUAUAUAUAUAUUAAAAAAGUCUUUCAAACUCAAGUGAGGAGUUUGGGACUUUGUAAACUUUGAUAUGUAUUUUAUUUUUAAACACCUCUUGAAUUAACAUUUUAUUUAUGGGUAUCUUAUGCAUUUAUUCUUCAUAGAUGUGCAUUCCAUUUUAGUUUAAUUAAUAACACCAACAUACAUUAUUUGAUUGUCACCAAGCUUGGAUUGGUACAUUCACAUGGGCAAUCACUUUAGCGCUUAGAUGGUAAGCAAAAUAAAUUAUAUAUUUGGAACAUCACCUUAGCUAGGUUAAGAUGAGACAUAAAAUUCAAAUAUGAAAUUAUUCCACAAAUCCAUAUAGCUUGAAUGAAUCUAAAUGUGAGAUCUUAAGUAGGAGCUUGAUGAGUGAUUGUGCUAAGAAACUUAAGUAGGUGCUUAAGGAGACAACUAGACUAAGAUUCAUGUGGCAUCAAAGAGUGAUUAACCCACUUUUGUGGAAGCUUCGUUGUAACAUACAUAUCAUACUAUAUGUGUUAUUUGCAACUAUUAGAGAGAAUAGUUAGACUACUCUAACACUGUGUGAGCCCUUAUAGACUACUAUAAAGUUUACUCUAUACCCUUGAACCUAAAAUUAUGUCAUGAAGUAAGGGUAAGAUGUCACUACUUUAACAUGUAAGCUAAGGAUUAUGAUUGAUAUGGUCUAGUAGAAUAUGUUAGGAAAGCGGUCAAACCUACAUGGAUACAUGAGUUGCUAAGAAAGAUUGUUACUAACACACCAUUAUUUAUAGCUCAUAGCCUAGACAAUUAUAUCAACCUUGUAUUCAAUAUAAUUUAAAUACAAAUAUAUAUAUAUAUAUAUAUAUAUAUAUAUAUAUAUAGAUAUAUGUUAGAAUCAAGCAUUUUUUUUUUAAUUGAGAUAUAACUCCUGGAGGGGUUUUUAAAAGUGUUUGAACUAGUGUGAUUGACAAGUCUAUGGUAUAACAAGAUAACAGAUUUUAUCCAAUGUGGAUGAGUGGAAGUUGUUUUUUAUUUUAUUUUUUAUUUUUAAAUUCAUCAUCCACAUGUGGGUUAAGUAAAAAGGGGAUGCAUAAGUAGAUAAGAUUCCAUCAAAUUAAAAAAAUGUUUUAAAUUAAAUUAGUUUGUCUAUAAGUUUGAAAUCCUUAUCCUUCACUAAAAUGUUUGCCUAUAAAUAAUACGAUUAUUAUUGAGUCUAACAAUCUUUUUCCAACAGGUUUGAGCUUCUCUACAUCUCCAUUACUUUCUUCCAAUCAAGUGUUUUAUGAUGUCUAUCUAUACUUAGAAUUUAGAGAGUGAAGUAAUAAAAAAAACUCUUAAUAGUUUCUUUGAAGAAGAAAGUUACUAACCUUGUAAUUCAAGUUACAAAGAUGUUUUGCAGGUAUAUCAACAAUAUCACCAUUUUUAUUCAAUAAAAUACCAAAGUGGAUGAUUGACUCAUUUCAUAGUAGAAAUAAUUACAAGAAUUCCUUUGAUAACACGAAUUUCUAUUUCUCAAUUAUAUCCCACGAUCAAGACAAUUCGUUGAAACCUGUCAAACCAUUUCAUAGAAGUUCAUUGAUAUCUUCUUUUUAUAAAGUAAAUCGACUUCAAUUAUUGAAUAAUCCACAUCAUUUCUAUUUCUAUUGCAACAAAAUAUUCCUUUUUCAUGUAGAAAAGAUCCGUAUCAAUAAUUCUGAUUUUAUGUAUAAACAAUUCCUUAAUAUUUUGUUCAUUUGCAAGACAGUUUUAUUUUAAUCUUACAAUGGUAAAAUUGACUUAGGAUGCUAAAACUAGGAAUAAAAUCAGUUUCGAACCGAUUUCUUCAAGCUAAAUCAGAUUCAGUACAAGGAAUGGUUGCUAGGAACCGUCUCUAUUUUACAAAAAUUGGAAAUUCCGCUCUGGAAAAUCCUAAAAUCGGUUUUGGCCUAAAGUUGGGAGUCGUUUGAAUCGAGUGAAGUUGAUAUGUUUUGGUAUUAUGUGGCAUGUUAAGAUUGGUAAGCGGUAGAUCUGGAUUUGAUUAGUUAGCUUUUAGGCCGCUCCUGGUUCAGUUUUAGGGAACUCCAUUGUCUUGAAAUUAUUUAGACGUGACUCAACAUCAUUCAAAGAAAAGUCAAAUAUGAGAAAAUUUAAGUAACAAUAAGAAAGAAAAUAAAAAAGAAAGUAAACAAAAAAUAAAUAAAUAAACAAACAAAAAAACAUUUCAAAUCAAUAAAAUAUUUUAAAAAAUAAAAAUAAAAGGGAAGAAAAAAUUAAAAAUAAAUUAUGAAAAUUUAAUAAAAAUUAUUUCAAUCUAAUUUCACUUAUUGUGACUCAUCUAUAUAUAAACAUUAAAUAAUUUAAAAAUAUAUAUGUUUUAAAUUAAUUUUAAUUUUAUUUAUUUUUUUCCUGUUUUUCACAAAAAUAAAACCCACAUAAAAAAAUAUAAAAAAUUAAAAAUAAAAUUCUUAAUACUUUUUUCUUUUCUUAUUGCUUUCCUAAGGCAAAACAAAGCAUUAAUUUUUUUUUUUUUUUUAUCUUCCCUUAAUCAUUUUCCAAAACCAAACAUAGCAUAACCUUUAUAUUGAACAAGAAAAAUAAGUAAAAUAAAUUUUAAAAAAUUUAUAAAAAUAAUUUAUUUUUAUUUCCGCCAAUAUUUUAUUUUAUUUCUAAAAACAAACUUUCUCUUCUUUUUUUUUCUUUUAUAUUUUUUCUCUAUUUUCUUUUCAUGACAUUCGAUGGAUUUCCUCCCCGUAAAUUCUCUUUAUAACCUAAAAUUCAGAAAGGAAGAAAUUCGACCUUUGAAUUGGCCAGCAUAAAGCUUCUGAUCAGUCCAACCACUAGUUUGUUAGAAAAAUUUACAUGUUUGCUCUCAUUUGAAUUAGAACCCCAAAAUUAAAAUACAAUCCAAAUCACCAACUUAGUUUCAUAACACCUAAAAAUUAAAAGGUUGUCGUAGGGGUUGAGAUUCUUGCUAGUAAAUCGUGUUUGUGUUAUGUUCAAGUCUAGAUAUUCUACUACAUUGGUCAACCUAAAUCCAAUAUAAAUAAUAAUCACAUCAAAUAUAUAAAUUCAAAUAUUACCUAAUUAUAUGUAACACAUUGUGUAAUUCAUUUAAACCAUUUAAUAUUCAGGUUCUCUUAUUUAAUAAUCAGUUUGGGUUAGAUAUUAUAUAUAUAUAUAUAUAUAUAUGAUUAAUAUCUUAAUCGAACAUAUUUAUGACUCAAUUGACAUAUUUAUUUUUUAUAAUUUGAUUAAUCAAUUGAAUUAUUAAAUAGGUCAAUACAAGUUAAUUCGUAUUAUACAGAUUAACCCAAAAACUAUUUAUUUAUUAAACGGGUUAUAUCAAUUGACACAAAUUUAAUCCAAAUUCAUUUACACUUGACCUAAACUUGUAAAAAGCGUGUUAGAUUUAAAUCAUAUCGACAAACCAUAUCAAAUUUUGUCACUCCUUACCUUAUUAUAGCAAUCCACCAAUGGUAGUUCAAUUUAAAUAGAAUGUGGAAAAAAAAUAUAAAUAAAAAAUAAAAAGAUAAAAAAACAAAAUAAUAAUAAAAAUAAAACAUAGAUUUAAAAAUAAUAAAUUAUUUAUAUAUAUCACUUCAAAUUUAUGGGAGAAUUAUGUUUUGGGGGUAGAUGGACCUCCAAAUUAACAAAAGGUCUAUGUAACUCUUCAAAUUGAGCUCAAGACACAAUGAAAAUAUGAAAAUUGAGUUGAAGGAUAUCAUCCUUUAGUAUUUCCAAAAAUGCCCUUUGUUGAUUUUGAGAAAAAAAUUAAUAUUUUUGAAAAAUACUUUUAUUUAAUUUAAUAUUUUUGAUUUAAUUUAAUAUUUUUAAAAAAUACUUUUAUGUAAUUUAAUAUUUUUUAAAAUAAAUUUAUUUAAUUUAAUAUUUUUUAAAAAUAAAUUUAUUUAAUUUAAUAUUUUAAAAAAAUAUUUAAUUUAAUAUUUUUAAAUACUUUAAUUUAAUUUAAUAUUUUUGAAAAAAACAAUUAAUUUAAUAUUUUUGAAAAAAAAAAUUUAAUUUAAUAUUUUUGAAAAAAAAAUUAUUUAAUUUAAUAUUUUUGAAAACUACUUUUAUUUAAUUUAGUAUUUUUGAAAAAAAAAAUUAUUAAAAAAAAUUAUUUAACUUAAUUUUAUAAAAUAUUUUAUAUGUGUUCUUAAAGGGUAUAUUUGUCCGUUACUAUUUCGUAUCCUUCAACUCAAUUUGAAGAGUUGUAUGGACCUUUUGUUAAUUUGGGAGCCCAUCUACCUCCAAAAGAUAAUUCUCCCCAAAUUUAUUUAACUUAUUUUAACUUUUCCAUAUAAAAAUUAUAUAAUUAAAAAUACAUAAUUCUUUCAUUAAUUUCAAUCAUAUUUGAUUCUGUUUCAAAGUUUUUCCUUUUUCCUAAACAUUUUUUUUCCUUUUCUUACUACUUUCCAUUACCCAAACCAAAUAUAGCCAUGCAGGAAUCCAGAUUUUAAUCAGCCAAGUUACACUAUAACAAGUUAAAAGAUAUUCGAAACAUUCACCAAGCAGGACCAAAUUAUUAUUAUUAUUUAAUUAGGGUUUAAUUCAGGUCUCAAUCUCCAUCCAAAUUCUGCAAAUCCUUACAUUAAAACAACCCAAAUUCACAGCACACCCAUGAUACUGAAGCCAUUGAUUACUGUAACAUAAGUAACUUCGUACUGGAACAGGUACAUAGAUCCAAAACAUUAUUAAGUUGGAGUGCAUGAUAUCCAAGAGCCUCAUAGAUCACCUGAUUUAUACAAGGGAAUAGAUAGAUCUAAAACAUAAGAUCGUUAUUUUGGUCGAAACGAGAGUGUUUUACAUCUUCUUGUGGAUUCCAGGUCCUGAAUGGAGCAUUCCAGGUCCUGAAUGCAGCUGGAGAGUCCUGCUUGGAACAACCUGAAGAACACCAGGUAGUGCUGCCAUAAUAGAAGAAUCAUUAGUGGAUGAGAUAGAAGAAUUAUUGCAAUCAAAAUAUGUAAAACAGUCCCAGGUAAUAUAAUGUGGAUGAGAUCCCCGAAAAAUGUUAACAGAUGAUUUAGAAUCAAGCUUCAACAGUUACAACAAUAUACUGGCAAGGAUCGAAACAACACUUCAUCAUUCACAGCAAUGGGGUCUGUCUGGUACUUCAACCUGUAAACACCCACGUCCCCACCCCAUUCCUUACCGCUUGAGAUACGCCUAAGGCUCGUUUAUUAGGUAAGAUCAUGCACGUCAAAAUAAACUGUACAACCAUUUUGUUUAAAAAGCAUGCUCUUUUUGAAUCAGAUAUCACUUCAACUGAUGGGCCGGACACACAAGUCCUAGGGCGUUGAGUUCAGGCUUGAAUGAUAUUUGGCAGAAAAUUAAGUUAGAGGGCUUCCUGCCAAUUUGUAAUUGCAUGACACCACUAUGGUUCUCUUUUCUUUGGAAAUGUCAUAGCACAGAUUAUGGGCCUAUUUAUGAGCGUUUUCAAAAACUGUUUUGAAAAAAUAGUUUUUAAGAUCAGUUCUUGAAAACAAAUCUAAAUUAUUUUCAGGAACAAAUUUCUAUUUAAAAACUCAACAAUGAAAAAUAGUUUUUGAUUUAUUCUCUAUCAAAGUCCUAUACACUUAAGUGCAAUGCAAAAAUUUUCAAAGUACUUCCCAUAUUUUUCAAUUAUUGCUCAAAACAUUCCACAAAAAUACCUCAAAACACCUAAAAUCAUAAAAAAAAACAACCUAUUUUUAAAACAAAUCCUCAAAAUUUUGUUUUCUGUCAAAAGCAUAUCAAUUUUAUGAGUUGGAAAACUAUUUUAUCUUCUAAAAUAGAAAACUGUUUCAAGGAAGAGUUUCCAAAUUUGACCUAUGCAUCUGGAUUCUGGUACAAGGGUUAGCAUUUAGAAAAGAGGAAUUGAUAAAAAGGAAUAUUGUCCUGCAAAAGCACUGUCAGCAAUAAAAGGGCAAAUUACCGAACUCGUAUAUGUUUUAGGCGUUGGAAUUCAAUUAUCAGAAAAGCUAUAUGCACAAUCCCUUUAAUUCAACCAACAAAUAGGUGUACCUUAUAGGGUUAAUAGCUCCUUAAAAUGCAAUAGUUGAUACUGAUAGAAAAAAAUUCAAAUAGAAAUAUCUCAUUACUUCUACUAGCAGGGAUUUACAAGAAAAAAUUGUUCCAACCCCAAACAACCAGCAAUUAGUAAAAGAACAUAGAUUCCAAGGAACAAUUCUCCUGCAAAUGUGGGUAGAAUUGAAAUUUGAAAAUACAAGCAUUACAAAUUCCUUCAUUUUCCAAGAAGCAAAGUCCUUCCUGAUGAGGAUUUCACCUCAAGAACCCUUUCAUAAUAUAUGCAUAACCAAGGCAGAAUCAUGCAUAUCAGUAUAAGAUGGUAAACCAAAGAAUUUUUUUUUUUUUUUGAAUCAUCCAAGGAAAUUUAAACUACCAACCAAACUAAUACUAUAAAAACUGAAUUUAAGAAGGCUGAGGAAUUCUGGUAUGAAUUAUUUCCUUGGGGAGGGGGUUGUUUUCAUGAUCUGAUGAGAACAAACUUUGUAAAAGACAAAAGAGAGAGGAAGAGGGGACAACAUAAGUAUGAGAAAUAAGGAUCAUGCACCAUAGUACAAAAGGGAGAAAGGAUGGAUUGGAAUUUCAGAUUCUAUGCAAUUUCAUUUCUAUUUUUUGUUUAUAAGAAAAAGGAAACAACAGAGACAAAAUUCUGAAAAUUUUAGGCCCUUCCAUUUUCAAAGUUUUGGAAAAUGCAGUAACAUGUUUUCAGAAUUCAAGCCAAACACCAGUCCAAACCACCAAAUCUCACUCAACCUGAAAAAUUCUUAUCAUAAUGAGAAUUUUUAUCAGUUAAUUUUAUCAGAAAUCAUGGCCUCGGAUUUGUCCAACUUCAUUGAACAGUAUCUCAUAAAGGAAAGUUUUUCCCCAAAAAAAAAUUCUGAAAAACAGGUAGGAACAUGUGUAUCUAUGCUUUUGGAUUGCUAAAUAUUUUCAAAAUUAACACAAUAUAUGAAUGAAUUUCAUCAAUUCGCCAAGAAUUAAAAACAAGCCCCAAAUUAUUCAAAAAAAAAAUCAUCAGAAAUGAACAAAAAAAGCCCUAAAUCAUUCAAGAAUCCAGCCGAAUUGAACAAUUCCAUAAGCAGUAGCAACACAAGACACUCACUUGAGAUUUGCGAAACCUGCUCGGGUGUCAGCUUGGCGGAGAAUCCACUAGCGGCGUUCUUGUAACUGUAUAUGAGAGC